rnacentral:lncRNA from 1 species
ACUCAGUGAGCUCAGUGAGUGGAUAGUAGUUACUGACAAUUUAAUAAAUUUAUUUAAAAUGAUUUAAUCUUUCUCAAAUCAAUUUCUCAAAUCGUUUCUCAAAUCAAUUUCAAUUUCUCAAAAUAUCAUAAGAACUUGCUCAAACUCAUUUAAUGCAAAUCAAUUCAUUGAAACACUAUAAUACAUAUAUUCGCAUAAAAUCGAUGGAAUCAUAUAAUACUCAUCAUAUCAAAUACUGAAGACUAAAAAUUGUCAUCAAACAAGUACCCAAGGGAUAAUCUGAUCAUAUCCGGACCUCGACGGACGGGCAAUGACGCACUAUCUGGGUAGCGUCACGCCCCGGAGCUACAACGGAUAGAUGGGGACGAUCUCAUCUCAUAUCUCAUAUAUCUGUACUGUGCAUGCAUAAGCCCCCAAAAGGCAAAAGCGCCCGAACACACGGCCCAAAGCCUCUAUGUGUGUCCCGACGGGCCCCAAAGGCCUCUAUCUCAUCUUAUCUGUAUCUCUUGUCUGUAUCUCUUUUCUCAUCUCAUAUUAUCUGUUUCUCUGUAUCUGGAGGGAAGGGUACUGUCUAAUGAUUUCAAAAAUAACAUAUACAUAAACAUAGAAUCUCAUCUGAAAUCUCAUUUUCUUUCUAUUCAACAUAUCUCAAAAUCUGCUCAAUUCUAAUAUCAUGCCUUUACUCAAAAACGCUAAUAAAAUCAUUAAUCAAACUCAUUCUCAAUAACAAUAAAGACCAACACAUAGAUAAAAAUUAAUUUGCCGGAAAAUCAUUUAAUCGAAGCAUUAAAUACUUAUCAUAAAAUCAGCAUAUACUAUGAAAAUAGGUUUUGUAUAUUCCACUCACAGUGAUGAUGUCUAGACUCGGUAUCAACAACGUUCGCGGGUUGAUUCUCGUUCGCGGAUGCGGAUCCUCCUAAUCACGGAAACACUAUAAUUAUUCUCCGUAAAUAGAAAUACAACCAAUUUAAUAUAAUAAAUCUCGAAUCAAAUCUCUAUUAACGAUAAACUAUUCCCGCAUGAGUAAAAUUACCAAAAUGCCCCUACAUGCCAAAAUUACCAAAAUACCCCCAACAUCAAUAUUUUACCAACUUAUCCUCAAACUUCAUUAUUUUACCAAAAUAUCCUCGUAUUCGUCAAUUACCAUAUUGUCCUCAAUUUAUAUUACAUAAAUUAAUCACAUUGUCUGAAAUUCCGAAAUUACCCUCGGGGCAUAAAAUUACCGAAAUGUCCUUAACGUCUUAAAUUACCGAAUUGCCCUCGAAAUCACAAAUUACUUCAUUGCCCUCACUCAAAAUUACCAAAAUGUCCACUAAUUACAUAAAAUUACAAAUUCACCCCAAAGUUUCAGGAAUUUGCCGAAUUGCCCCUGCCGGUCAACGGUGACCGGACUUCAGUCAACGACGACGGGGAGCUUAGGUCAGCUAGUUCCGACCUCGGUGAGUGCAAUGGUGCCGGCGGUGUCCUCCCACGCGCGGCGGCAACGGCGGAUCGAAGCUCCAAAAAAAAUCCGAAACUUUCCGGUGGUCGUUCGACGAUUUUCCAGCGUCCCUGGUGGUCGUGGUUGGUCAGAAAUUGUUGCUGGAGAUGUGAGGAACCAGUUCCAAGUGGUGGCGCGUCACAAACCCAGCGGAAUCAACGGCGACGGAAAAGGAUCUUGGCCGCGACUUUCGAGCUCAAAUCGUCGGCGUUCUGGUCGGUUUUCGGCGACGAGGACCACGGGGAUACGACGGUCGGCUUCCAUGCUUCAGAUCGGUACCAAGCACGACCGGUAAGGUGGCCGGAAUUAGGAGAUCCGUUUGGGUCAAUAUCGCGGGUCCGGGUCGGGUUUUCGGGUCAACGGGUCAAAAUUCCUCUCUCUCUCUCUCUCUCUCUUUCACGGGUUCUCUCACUUUGUUUUUGAAUUCAAAAACAGUUCCCCUUCACCAAUUAUACAAUCCGACCCCUUUUUUUUUUUUUUUUUUUUUUUAAGCUUAAUACAAAUUAAGCUCAAUUCGGACCCGUGAUGAAAAUAAAAUCCGACCAUCGGCGCGUGUAAUCGCGCUUAAUUUAUUUCAAUAAAUUAUCGUGACGAAUUUAAAAAAUCAUAAGUGAAGAGGAAAAAUUAAAUCGCACUCUUAAUUAAGAAAUCCGAAGUGCAUAUGUUACAUGCAAUUAAUGAUUGUUUUUGAAAAUUUACAACUUUGGGUGAUUGCUGAUUGAGGGGAUGUAUAUUUUUAUCAUGCGAAAAACAAUAAGAACAGAAGUGUCCUUAUCAUUUAACAAUCAAAGGAAUCUUAUGGUUGAAAGCGAGCCUCCAUCAACAUAUAUUUGGUGAGUUCUCUAUGAAACUAAAAAUGAUAUAUAUAUAUAUAUAUAUAUAUAUAUAUAUAUAUAUAUAUAUAUAUAUAUAUAUAUUGGUAGCGUCUUAUCUUAUAUUCAAUUAUUAGUCUUAUAUGUUGGCCUCAAGUCAGAAUUAACAAAUAAUAUUAUUUAAUUGAGAUACAAAAUUAACAAUCUUACAACUUAUUUAACGCCUAACAUACAACAAAACAUAGUACAACAAUUGCUGCAAGGAAGCAUAGAGCUAGAUAAGCAUAUUAGUAUUUAGUACGUGCUGCCGAUAUGAUUUUGACCGCGCACUCUUCAUUUUCUUUACUCACUUUGUUCCUCUUUGUGAGGACUUGGUCUUAUUCUCAGCGUAAGAAGUGCACAAAUAAGAAUUCAACAUAGUACAGCUGCAGAUGCGUCAGCAAAACAUGUCACUAUGGAAGUAAAUGAAAAAUCUAACAAAAUCUUGUCAGCUAGCCUUCAAUUUCUUUAACAUUUUUCUUUGAUUAAGUAUUCACACAUGGAAGUAGGAAUCACUUACCUUCCAAAUGAACAGAUAAAAAGAUUGCACUGAUUUAUUAUCGGAGAGAUCAAUAGUUUUAGCCUGACGCCACAAAACGAAAGCCAAUGCGGAGUGGCCUAUCAUCUACAAUAAAAGAUCAUUAAAAAAAAAAUUAAAUGAUGAGUUACGAAGAUCACAUUCAAGAUCAAGCGAAUACAUAAAAACAAGGCUAAAUUUGUUGUAGAAAUUACUGAUUAAAAUUCUUACAGUAACAAGUUUGCAUAACACGGAAGGCGAAAAAGCUCCAACUAGUACAGCACCUCCAUGAGCCGUUAACAUCAUAUUAACAGCAAUCGAAAAUACCUUUUAGAAAUUAAACAAAUCAUAUCAUCGAUAUUGUUGGCCAAUAAUUCUUAUAUAUACUGUAUUCGAGAUUCACAUCAUAUAAAACAAUAAUUGGUAAAGAAAAUGAUUAUUACUCACUUUUUCUUUCCCUAGGAUGAUUGGGAGCGUUUGAAGGCCAAAUGCUUUGUCACCCUCCACAUCAGGUAUAUCCUGUAUAUUAUAAGUUCGAAACCAAAACAAUUAGGGCUCCAUUUGGUAUAGGUCAUCAAAUAGAGUUUUUUUUUUUAAAUAGAUGUUUUGUUCGUAGAGCUUUUACUAAAUUUUUUUUAGUUAUUUGGUUAUCAAUUAGAAUUUUUCAUAAAAAUUAUAAAUUUGCCUUAAUAAGCAAUUUAUUUAAAGUUAUGUUAUGAAAGAAAUAAAAUAAGUAAAGGACAAUUUAGGCAUUUUAUUAUUUAAAAAAAAUUUAACCUUUAUUCGUAAAAGCCCAAAAUUUGAGUUUUUACUAAUAAAAGACAAAAUAAUUUAUUUAAUUUUCAAAAGUUCUACUAAAAAAAUCCAAACAACAAAAAAAAAAAUCAAAUAUAUUCUAAGUAAUAAAAUUUAUCAUAUAAGCUGUUGCUAUUGAUGGACAUGAAAUAUUCAUAUACUCUAUAUUUGUAUAUACAUAUAAUUAUUUGGGCAAAAUUAUGGUACUACAAUGAUACCAUACCACAGUUGGAUCCAGCCCACAGUUGUCACCAUAGCUGGAUCUAAUGAUUAGAUCCAGCUGGGGUAUGGUACCACUGUGAUACCAUAGCUGGACCCUAAUUAUUUAUUCAAUUUCUGAAUUAGUUACCUUUACAAAUGCAAUUGCAGCAUUCCAGAUCACCAUGUAAGCGGCGGUAAACAACACUGGUUUCGUGAAUGCAACGGGAUUACCAAGCACAAUUUUCUGCAUUUAUGUAUCAAAUCCUUUUCGUAAUUAGUUUGAAAAUAUAUAUGACCGAAUUUUGACAUGAAAGCAUAUGAUUAUUUGGUGUGUGUGGACAAAUUUGAGAAUUUGUACAUAUUCAUGUCAGAAAAAUCACAUGACUCGAUAGCUAGACAUUUUAGGUAAGAGUCUAACAAUAAUAUUCAAAAAAAGUCUCAACAGUAUAUAUACCUGGAAGUGUAUGAAGAAAGGAAAAAGAAGUAGAAGUCCAUUCAUACUGAUGAUGGUCACUGCAGCCAUCAAUGGAUUUCCCUUCCAUCGAAGAAGGGGAGGAAGCUGCAUGCAAGUUUGAGAUUGAGAAGAACAAUUAAUCAGAUGAUGAACUUAAUUAAAUUGAUCAAUUAACCAAUUAUUUGUCUGAAGCAAUUAAUUAAUCAAAUUGACUUCAUGAUCUUCAUCUCUAACUGAAGUUUCUGAUUUGGAUUUUUUUUUCUUUUUUUCACAAAUAACUAUAUUAUGUAUCGAAGCAAGUUGGGUGCUUACAUCGAUGGAAUAAGCGCCUCCAACUAUACACCAUAUGAUGAAGCCUAUAACUAGUGGUGGUGAUCGAAGCAUAAUCCCCAUAGCCACAGCCUGGAAAUUAAUAAAAAAGAAAUUAGUAAUUAAGGUUUGCAUAAAUUUGAAAAGUGAAAUAAUAAUUAACAAUGUCGAAGAGUGAAGCUUUAACUUUGUACCAUUAAUGGAGAUGCUAUGGUAAUUGCUAGUCCUUCUCCCAUUGAAAAGUCUCCGCAAGCGAGGGGGAGAUAAGGCUUGUUAACCUUUUGACAAUUUUAAUCUAAAUUUGUUAGCAAAACAUAUAUAAUUUAUACAUGAAAUAAGCAAAAUAUACAGGUGAGUGAAAUAUAUAAAUACCUUGUCGAUAUGAACAUCUGCCAAUUGGUUUAUGGCAUUGGCAUAAUUGUUCAUCAUUAUUGCGGGCACCAUGCACUGAAAAUUAAUAUCAAUAAAAAAAAAAAUUAACUCAUCCAAAUUCCAAAUUAAACUUGACAAUGAAUAAACCACUUAAAUUUUACCUUGAAUGCUUCUAUGAUAAGCUUGGGAGUGAAAUCAGCAGGACUUUGUAAUGGAAGCAAAGAAACGGAUAAUAACGCCGCAAUCUGAUAAAUUUAAAAAUGAUCAUAAGAAAAACAAAAAGAAAAGGAAAGAAGCUAGAUUGAUUUGUCUAUCAUUUUGCACACAUGCCUAAAAUUAAUUAAGCAACUCACAAUGCUAACGCAACUGUAGGGACGAGUAAGCCGGUAGAAUGCAUCACACUUCUUGUUCAAAACUUGCAUAAAGCUUGUUGAGGCCAGCUCGGAUUCUGAUGAAUACCCAUCUUGUGCUGCCAAUGCAACUGUUGAUUUGCUCAAUGGUUUGUGAUUUCUAUUGAUUACUAAAUCCUCGCUGUGUCCAAUUUUAUUGGUUAAAAGAAAUGAACUUUCGGAGGAGCAUCUGACGGAGUACUUCUUGCUCUGAUUUUUGUUUGCCAGGCCAUUUAUAUGUUUCAGUGGAGUCUGGAAUGUUUUAACUGAACCUAAAUAUGGAUAAAAUAUUAAUUACCUUAAAAAAAAAAAGAUAGAAUGAGAACUUUGGUUUCUCUUAAUUUAUUUUUUUAAUCAUUUAAGUCUCUAAUAAAUUUUUAUCAUCAAAUUUUAUCUCUGGUUUUAGUUAUGAACAUCAUCCCAUAUUGACUGAAAAUAAAUUAUGAAUUAAAUAUAUAAGAUUAGAUUCACGGUUAUGAUGUGAGUAUAAGUUAUGCUCAUAAAUUUAUACGAGAUAAUUUCACCAUCAAACAAGAGAUGGGUACUUAUUAAAGCUAUCAAUGCCAAACUCAUGCGAGUGGAAAACCAAGAAUAAAAUUCACCGUAAGUAUUAAUUUUUUAGACAUUGUCAGAAUAUUAGAAUGAAACUUACCAGCGUGUUGCAAAGGAUGGUAUUUCAAAGGGAAGCUCGAACACGGAUUAAUUUGAAGCAACAUGAUGAUUUGCUUCUUUCUUUCUCUCUUUAUUUCUUUUCACGUGUGUUGUGGAGAGAGAUUGACAAAACUUUAAGUGAUUAAACACUCAAUUUAUAUUUGUCUUGUGCAGAAAAAUGCAUUUGGUUUUAAUGUGGCACUCUUUGCCAUCCUUGUGAGGACAAACCUUUUCUUAAAUAGCCUUUGGACUUCGAGUGCUCCCUAAAUGAUUUAAUUAUUAUUUUUUAAAAAAAUUCCAUAAAUAAAACUACAGAUCUGUGGCUUGCCGGCAAUCACCUUUUUUUUUUUUUAAUCCGGCACCGUGUCUUAAAUGGCACUUGAUAUCUUAAUGUGCUACUUGAAAGAUCUAAUUACUAUUUUUAAAAAAUCCAAAAAUAAAACUACAGAGCGGGCAGGAAUCAUCAAUCAUGUUUAUUUUUUUAAUGUGUCACCCUUUUCUUAAAUAGUAGCCCUUGGCGUGCUACCAGGAAAUUUUGAUUAUUUUUUUUUUUGAGAAGAGGAAAUUUGGAUUAUUACUUUUGGUAAAAAGUCAAAAAGAAGAAUCACGUGUCGUUGACAUUUGAAGUUGCUGACAAAGGUGGGUAGGGAGUUGGUGGCCAAAAUAAACAAAUAAAUAAAUAAAUAAAUAUAUAUAUAUAUAUAUAUAAGGUGGCCAAAAUAUUUGACACUUCUUAAUGCAUUUGGAGGGCCUUAGCUACGACAAUUGCAUGUGAAACGUUAGAAAAACAAAUUAAAUCGUAAUAAAUAAUAUAUUAUUUAAAUAUAAUAAAUAAAAUAACAAUAAAAUAAUAAUUAUCUUAAUAGUAAAGACCACAUAAUAAUAAAAAAGUAGUUUUAUAAUAAUAAAAAAUGAGUUUCAAGAUUAAUGGUCUUAAUUUCAAGAUCAAUAGUACCAUUUUCAUAUUUAUUGGUUCAUUAAUUGUAAGAUUUUCAGAGUUGUCUAUUAAUGAGCUUGUGUUUCAUAUUUAUUACCCUAAGUUUCAAGUUACUUUAGUUUUAUGAUUAAUGGUACUAAUUUCAUGAUUAAUAAUAGGUGUUUCAUAUUUAUUAGUCCAUAAUUUGCAUGACUUUCAGGUUUGCAAGUUAAUGCUCCAAUGUUUCAUCUUCAUUGUCCUAAGUUUCAAGUUACAUUGGUUUUAAGUUUAAUUGUCUUCAUUUCUUAUUAAUGGUAGGUGUUUGAUAUUUAUUGGUCCAUAAUUUGCAUGACUUCCAGACUUGCAAGUUAAUGAUCCAAUGUUUCAUAUUCAUGACCCUAAAUUUCAAGUUACUUUGUUUCAAGUUUAAUAGUCUCAAUUUCAAGAUUAAUUAUAGGUGUUUCAUAUUUAUUAGUCUAUAAUUUGCAUGACUUCCAAAGUUGCAAGUUAAUGAUCAUGUGUUUCAUGUUCAUUGCCUUAGGUUUCAUGUCUACUGCCCUAUGUUUCAUGUUCAUUGUUUCAAUUACUUUAGUUUCAAGCAGGGGCGGACCCAAAACUCUGCAGUACCUUGAGCUAAAAUAAAAAAUUUAUACCAAGUGAACAUGAAAUUUCAUAUAUAUAGAUGACAAAAUACACCUAAUAACAAGAGACAUUAAGAGCCUUACGCCUAAACAUCCCAUAUUGUAAAUAAAAAUAAUUUUAAAAAAGUAGUAUAAAAAAAAUACAAUCCUAAUACAAAUUUUCUACCGAAGUUGUACUUUUCGGGAUUUCAAAUUAUAAAAAUAAUCAAUUAUAGAAUCUGAAUCAACAGUAUUAGUAAUUUCUCUUUCAACAUAGAUAACCAUACAAUCUGAAAAAAACUCAUUUUCCAUCUUACUACGAAGUGAUGUCUUGAUAAGUUUCAUGGUUGAAAAUGCACGCUCUGUUGUGGCCGUGGAAACAGGAAGAGUCAAGACUAGACGAAUUAAUCUAUCAAUCAAGAAAUAGUGCUGUGACUUCAUUGUUUCAACAAAUCGUCGACAUAGCUCAGAGAGGGAAGUCAUAUUUUGAAAUCGUGGAUGAGAUCAAUUUGAUAAUGUUCUAAUUCUCUUCUCAAAGCAAGCACCUCAUUUGGAGUGAAAUUAUGAGGAUAAAAUUUCUCAGCAAGAGAACAAAUAUUGUCUAUAUCAAAUGAUUUGAACCCAUCAACUGGAUCCAAUGCCAAGCUCAAAGUGAGGAGUUCCACAGUUUGCUCAGAGAAUCUACUAUUUAACUCCAUCAAUUGAAAAUCUAUUACAGCAUUAAAUACAUCAAAGUGCUAAUGAUGUUCAACUGUAACAUAAUCUUUUUGCUGACAAGAACGCCUUGUACCUUCCAUAUAACAAUCACUUAUAUCAAGCAUAGUAAUAUCGUAUUUUUCACAGAAAGAUACUACACUUCUAAUAAAAUCAUCUCAUCCAUUAUCUCGAAACUCUUGCAAAAGUCUUUUUGUACUUGAGAUAUAGUUCAAAGCAUUCAAGAUGUCCAGUGAUUUUGUCUGUAAUGCUCGACAAAGGAUAUCAAAAAUUCUGAGAACUUUAUUCAAUAAAAGCAAAAUAAACACAAACUCAAAGGAUUUCAUCUCCCUAUAUGCACCUUUAGCUUCCCCAUGCGUAUCUCGAUUAGAUCCAUCAUUAAUCAUCUUUCCUAAUACUUCAAGAGUUGCACCAAACAUCUCAAUAAACUUAUUAACUGAAGUCAAAUGUGAGCUCUAACGUGUAUCUCCAGCCCUUUGUAAAGUUCUAACUUGAUUAGUCCCUAUACCAGUCUCAAGCUCUUUUAAAGCUAUCAAAUCUAUAAUUUCUUUUUCUCUAGCAGAUUUUAACUCAGAAUAACGCUUGAAAGAAGCACUAGCAAAGUUAAUAAUAGAACUCAACUUCGAAAAAAAUAGCCAUACCUCAUGCACUUCUUUAGAUACUGCAACUAAUAUGAGUUGUAGUCAAUGAGCAAAAACAAUGUACAUAAUAAGCAUACGGACAAUCAUUGGGAAAUAAAUAUUGUAAUCCAUUCCAUUCAUCCGCCAUAUUACUAGCACCAUCAUACCAUUGACCUCUUAAAUUUUCAACUAAAAGAUUGUAAUGAGCAAGCAUAUUGCAUAUCUCAUUCUUUAAAGUCAAGGCCUUUGUUUCAUCAACAUUCACAAUUUCAAAGAAACGCUCUCGAAUAAAACCAUCACAAUCAACAUAUCUCAAAAUAAUAACCAUUUGUUCUUUGUGAGAUUCAUCUACUGCCUCAUCAAUUAUGAUACAAAAUUUAGCAUCAUCCACUUCCUCUCGAAUCUUGUGCCGUACUUUAUUAGCAAUAAUAUUCAAUAACUCCUUUUGAAUCUUAGGUGCUAUGUAUUGGGUAUUUUUAGGAGCAUUUUCUAACACAACUUUAUUAAUCUCCUCAUUCAUUGUUACUAACAACUUAAUUAAUUCAAUAAAAUUUCCACGAUUAAGCGAAUUAACGGACUCAUCAUGACCUCUAAAAGCACAUGCUUGUUUUGCUAACCACUUGGUAGCUACUAUUGAGGUUUUAAGUCGCAGUCUAUUCUCCAAAAUUUGUUGCGAAGAUUGUGCAUUCAUUGUCUUAUCAAUAUGUUUGGAUGGAUCCUUUAAAUUGCUCCAUUUUAACAUGUCAUCAUUGUGAGAAGAACCAUGACCUCUUUCAUGUUGAGCAAAAUGACAUGUUUUUUCACAACCAACAUACUUCCAAUUUUGAACCCCAUCAACAAUAAAUACUUCAUUCUUAGAUGGCUUAUCAUGAAAAAUAUAGCAUGGAAAACAAAAUGCUUUGUCUUUUGAUAUAGAAUACUCAAGCCAAGGAAAUUUCAAGAACUAAGAAAAUUGAAAUCGACGGUUUUGCGUACUAUAUUUAGUCGAUGGAUACUUUUGUAGUUUGGGUUGAAAUGAUCCCAUAUUUAUAUAUGCCAUCCGCACAUUUUCACGCUUGUCAAUGGGAAAAGCACUUAUUGAAAAAUGCAAUCCGGGAUCACGUUCUAAAUAAGGCGUGUCAAUAGUAGAUGGAGUACCAACUUUCUCAAAUUCGACUCUUUAAGACUUAGGUGGAGAACUUGAGGCAUCAAUGUUGCACAUAGAACUUGUCCCAUUUGAUAAUUGACCAUCAUUUACUUUAGUAAAGAGUGAAAGUAGAGUUUUCCUCGGUUUGGAUUUGUUGUUUGACAUUACAACCUAUAACAACAUGUAAUUGUGUAAGAAUCAAGAAAUCAUUAAAAGUGUUAUAAGCUAUACAUUCUACUAUUUUAAAAUAUAUUUAAAGUCGCAAAAUAAAAAAAAUCAACAUUAAAAGCUCAUACAAGUCAAUAUAUGGUUAAUACAAAUACCCAUGCUUAUCAAAUUUUUGAAAUUUUUUUUUGUAAAAUAUUAGAAUAACAAGAAAAAAAUUAAUAGAUAAACAAUGAGAUUUGAGUUAAUUUAAUCAAAUGAGGAAGUUCAAUAAACAAAUUUAUUUAUUUAUUAGACAAUUUAUUAUCUACUCAUUCUAAUAUAGAGAUGCCAACCAUCAAUUAGAAUUAUAUGGUAACUAACAAAUCAACAAUCACCAAAAAUUAUUACCCAAAUCUCAAUUGUUGAUAUUUGUUUAAUUGUUUAUACUUUAUACCUAAUUAUUGCAAGAAAGAGAAUCAUAGAAAAUAUGUUUUGAUUUCACCCAUGCUUGUAAACAAGAGAGAGAGAGAGAGAGAGUUGUAAUAAAUUAAUCCAUACUUGUAAACUAGGGAGGGAACUGUCAUAAAUUAAAAUAAGAUGUGAUUUUUACCUAUUAAAAAUUGAAUGGAAAGUACUUGAGCCGAAAAGAAGUGAAACAAGGGACCACCACAGCCGCGGGAGUGAGGGAUUUUAUUGUUGCUGCUGGAUGGAUGCAAAAAGGAGAAACAAGGAAAGGUAAAGAGGAAUAAGUAAAAGUAAAUAUAAUUUUAUGUAUUUAAUGGCAAUUUUGUAAUUUUUGAAUAACUUUUUAAUUUUUAUUUUUGGGGCUAGACCGGGCUACAGCCCAGUCUAGCCCAGGCACAGGUCUGCCAUUGGUUUCAAGUUUAAUGGUCUCAAUUUCAAGAUUAAUGAUAGGUAUUUCAUAUUUAUUGGUCCAUAAUUUGCAUGACUUCCAGAGUUGCAAGUGUUAAUGAUUCUAUGUUUCAUGUUCAUUGCUCUAGGUUUCAAGUUACUUUGUUUUUAAGUUUAAUGGUCCCAAUUUCAAGAUUAAUAGUAGGUGUUUAUAUUUAUUGGUCCAUUAUUUGUAAGAUUUUUAAGGUUGCAAGUUAAUGAUCAUGUGUUUCAUGUUCAUUGCCCUAAGUCUCAAAUUACUUUCGGUUCAAGUUUAAUGGUUCCAAUCUCAAGAUUAAUGGUAGAUGUUUCAUAUUUAUUGGUCCAAAAUUUGCAAGAUAUUUCAACUUGCAAGUUAAUGAUCUUGUGUUCCAUGUUCAUUGCUCUAAGUCGCAAGUUACUUUGGUUUUAAGUUUAAUGGUCUCAAUUUCAAUAUUAAUGGUAGGUGUUUCAUAUUUAUUGGUGCAUUAUUUGCAAGAUUUUUAGGGCUGCAAGUUAAUGAUCUCGUGUUUCAUGUUCAUUGCCCUAAGUUUCAAGUUACUUCGGUUUUAAAUUUAAUGGUCUCAAUUUCAGGAUUAAUGGUAUGGCUUUCAUAUUUAUUGGUCCAUAAUUCGCAUGACUUCCAGCAUUGCAAGUUAAUUAUCAUGUGUUUCAUGUUCAUUGCUCUAAGUUUUAGUUAUUUUGGUUUUCAAGUUUAACGAUCUCAAUCUCAAGAUUAAUGGUAGGUGUUUUAUAUUUAUUAGUCUAUAAUUUGCAUGACUUCUAGGGUUAUAAGUUACUGAUUCUGUGUUUCAUGUCCAUUGCCCUAAGUCUCAAGGUACUUUGGUUUCAAGUUUAAUGGUCCCAAUCUCAAGAUUAAUGGUAGGUGUUUCAUAUUUAUGGUUGAUCAUUUUUUUUCUUUUCAUUUCUUCUUUUUUUUUUCUUUUAUAUGAAGCCUAACCAACCUAUGGUACAUGGAUAUGUUCGGCUGAAGGCCGGCCAAAGCCCAUCAAGGCUCGGCCCAAAUCCGACCCAUUCGAAAUAAAAUAUAUAAUAACGAUGCCUUAAGAUAUAUUAUAUGUCAUUAAUCCGCGAUUUUGUAAGUGACUUUAAAAUGAGCAUUAUAAGAAGAUGAUUAGAGUUAACAGUAAUCAUUGUGCCAAUACUAUUUACUUAGUCUUAAAUCUAACCAUUCAAUUGAUCAUCAUAUAUACUUCAACUUAUCGACAACUAAAUUUUUAAAGAUGUUGACAAUAUGGAUGCACAUUAAUGAAAGUGUAAAAAAAUAAUGUAACAUGUGUAGUUUGUUUAAGCCUCCCAUAAUUCAACAUCCAAAGAUUCACAACAUGGUAACAUGGGAAAGUGAUAGACCAUUUUUAUAAUUUUUUAUUUUUUGUUCAUAAUAAUGGGGGAGAUUGGAGGAGAGAAAAAGGCCUUGAGGUUAGUCUUUAAAAAAAACGGCUAACCAUUUUUUAUUAACAUGGUUUCUCAUCACAAUUAAUUAAUGUGUUCACCAACCCAUACACAACCUACCAAACCCUUCUAUUGAUGGUGACACUAAAUGUUUGAAAAACCCAACUCAGACACUACUCUCUUUUUUCAUAUUUAACAAUUCACUACUCAAGAUUAAUGGUAAAAUUUUAGAUAAUUAUGAACAACUCAAGUGUGUAAUAAAAGGUUCCAUGUUCAGUGACUAACAUUGUCUUAUUGUAAGUAAUUUUAGAUUAUCAUUAUUUUCACGUUUAAUGUUCAUAUUUCACGUGCAUCAAAAUAUUAUUAUAGAGGUCUUAAAUAUAAAUAUGGUACUAAAUAUUGUAAUUGGUAGUUGGUAUAAUAUCAUAUUGAAUUAUAUUGUUAAGGUACCAAUCUAAGUAAGUGCAAUGACUCCCUAUGCUAGCAUUAAGAAAGAAGAUACGACACAAUCUAAUUGUUUAUUUGUAAAAUAUUAGGUAUUAAAAUUAUUCAUUUGUAACUACUUGCAUAUAACGAUAAUUACAAGAACUAUAAUGUGAAUUUUGUAAUAAACAUAUUGUAUAAUGAGUUGGAUUAGUUAUUUCCAUAAUGCUUGCACUAUAAGAGGCCACCAAUUGAGAUUUUUGAAUUUUGAGUGAGAAAUGGUGUUUCAGUGAUAGGUAAUGAUUUUGAAGUAUCAAAUGAGCUAGAAACAGAUGAGAAGAUAAUAAAUUUUAGUGAGAUAAAAAUGGAGUUUUAGUCUUAAGGAGAUAGAGUGAUAAAGCAAGGGAAGAAGAUGGAACAGGUAAAACCCGCGACUUGAGAAUUGAAAUCAGUUAGCCGAUUCCUUGGAGCUGUUGGCCGCUUCAACUUGGUAAAGUUACUGCCAUCCAAAUGGUUAGGUGCAACAAAUGAGGCGGCUAGCUGUUUCACUUGAAUUUUGUGCACCAAUUUGGAUUUUUCGGAGGACAUACCUUAGGCCACGAGUUCGUUUAAGGGGUAUAAUGUACCAUUUCAAAAUUUGUGAGAAGAAAAACUAAAUCAAAAACCACUUUUGCUAUUCUGCCUCGUGGUAAACCCGAAAAUUCCUCUUCUUUCUUGGUCUUUUUUUAAGUUAUUUUUUUCCUAUUAUUUUCAGGGAUAAAAUAAACAUAAUGGCUAAAUUACUACCAAUUUCCCGGAAAAUAAAGUUGAAAGAACCCUUAUAUUUUGCUACCAAUGUUUAUAGCCACAAUCUCCCCAGCAAAUAACCUUGUAACAAUUUUUAAUUCCAUUAAUUCCCCUACAAAUUUAUAGGCUUAUUUCUCUAUUAUGCUAAAUCAAUUUAUUUUAUUUUUUUGAGUAAUUAUAGGAAACAUAAUUUAAUGAAAAUAAAUCAAAUUAACUAUUUCUAUAUCAAACAUAAUAUUUUCUACAUAUCAUCCCUAAAAUCCACCAAAAACUAGUAUAUUAUGCAAGCGCAUCUUAUUACAAGUAUCAUCUCCAAAAAAAAAAACAUGAAAGGGUAGCAUUAUAUCUAAAAGGGAUGGUGAAUAUUGUAAUUCAACUCAAACCCCCUGCUCCAUAGCAACGCCUGUAGCCCACUUGGAAUAUCAUCGAUUUAACCUAAAAGACAAAAAUAUAAAAGAGAUUAUAAAACAAACAACUAAUUGAUUAUAGGCGAUACAAAAUCCCAUAUUAAAAAUUUCAUAAACCAAUAUACAUUAAAUGACGUUACAUGUAAGAGCUCCUAGGAGUAAAGAUUAUAAACUGUGAAUAGCGGAGUUAUUUAAUGUCCUUCAUGCAAAUUCUAUUAACAAUUAAUAAUAUUUUUACCUUGUGACCAAACUAUUAGUCCCCUCUCAUGCACAUCGAAAAAAUUUGUGUAAUACACCUCAAUUAUUAGCAUGAUAUGUCCAAGAUUUUCUAGGGGUCUUAACACAAAUUUUGACCAAAGCUUCAAUAACUUAGAUAAAAACACCUCUCCACUGAAACUACAUAGAACCAUAAAAGAACUAGGAAGAUGAAUAUAGAGUUCAUAUUUGAAAUCUAUAGAUAUACAUAAAACAAUAACAUGAAGUACACUAACUUUUGGAGUUAUAUGUAUAUCAGCAGUAGUAAAUAUUUUCAUAACGCAUGAAUCAAGCCACGUAGAUCUAUUAUUAUGAUUCAGAACAAUUGUUAGGAAAUACCUUCACGUUGCUGAGCAUCUUCAUAACUGCAAACAAGAGUAAAUAGAUGCUUAAAAAAUCAACUCUGAUAAAGUAUAUAUCAAGCUAAAAAAUAUCAAUUACAAAUUACGCUUUAAGUUGAUGUUCGGCAAAAAUAAAAUCCAAUUUACUCUAAUGGAAUCCUACCAUUUAAAAAAAAAAGGAAAAUCGAGAUCAUAAUGAAGUACAAUUUACAGGAAUAUAAAGCCGUAGGAAAUCACCACUGGAAUUUUUCAGCUGCAGUUUUUCUACAUAAACAUUAGUAAAACAACACCUGAAAAUUUUCUGGUGUUCUUUUUGCAGCAUAACAGUAACUAAACAGCACCUGGAAAUUUUCAGGUACAGUCUCUCUGCACAAAUAGUAGUAAAACAGCUCCUGGAGAUUUCCAGGUGCUGUUUUUGUGCAUAAAGAGCAGCAAAAUAGCUCCUGAAAAUUUCCAGGUACUGUUUUUGGUGGAUAACAGUGGCUAAGCAGCACCUGGAAGUUUUUUAUGCAUAAACAGCACCAAAACAAAUUGCAUAUGAUGCUUAAUAUAAAAUUGCAUUCCUAGCACUCCAUUAUUAAUUAAUUAAUGACAUCUUAUGUUUAAAAUAAAAUAUCAAAGAAAUCAAAUUUAACGGCCACAAAAAUAUUGAAAAACAGGACCUACAAGAAACAAAACGCAUAGCACAAUCCAGCUAAAAACCAAAGCUACCAUUUUGUAUUAUGUUCUUUUGCUUUCUGGAAGUAAACAAUGAGAAACGAAAAGAAGAAAAUAAGGCAUCUUUAAUAUAAUGCUACUGGGGGUUUUCUCAAUGACAAACAAGUUGGGAUUGGACUCAUGUAUCCUUUCCUAAAAAAUGCCCGGUCCAAUGCUAUAUCACCUAUAAAAUGCUUAAAACUCAAUCUCGUCUUUCUUUCUCAUUUAUGCAAUUUUCCCUCUCUAGUUUGUCAUGCUAGAUACGUCAAGUACCAAGUCUCCUGGAACCUAAAAUAGUUUAAAUAGAUAAAAAAAAAUUAUUAAUUGUAUUAAAAAAUCGAGUUGGCGCAUAAAAAAGAAUAGAGAAGAAAUACAAACCACUAUCUUAUGAACGAAGUUCGCUAUUGGCUCAUCUCCAUGACAAUCCCAAAGGCUUCAACGGUAAUUUCGCAACAACUUUCCCCUUCGAAAGGCCAAAAACGACGAACAGAACGAGGGCGACAAUAGUGGUGGAUUUGAACCUGAACAAGGACAUAUCGCGGCUGGAUUCUUUGAGGCUGGUCUCGACACGGUCAAUCUUUUGGGUGAAGAUUUUAGCUGGAUUUUCGAUUUUCAUGGUCUCGAGUUUCUUGGAGGCUUUGUCGAUUGAAGAUUUUCAUGGAGGCUUUGUCGAAUAAAGAUUUGAGGGAUUUGUGAGAGUUGGUUCGGUAAAUGAGAAGCCAUGAGGGAUUUGUGCUGCUCUUGAUCAUCGCUGGAGAAGAACAUCAGCUGCUGCCAUUGAUCAUUCCCGACUAGCGCCGUUGUUGAUGGCCGUGGAACAAGAAGAUGAGAAGUGAGGUGAGGGAAAGGGGAGGAGUCUCAAAAUUUUUUAUUAUUUAAUAAUGAAACGAAUCUCAUCCGUUGGAUCUACUCCAUUUAAUCUAAUGGUAAUUUCUCGCACAUAUAUCCCAUCGGUGCUGCUAUUUACCCCAGGUCAAACCCUAAGUCAAGCUUCGAACAUUACCAAUACGAUAUUGUUUUGAUUAAGUUUAAUUUUUUAUUUUAAAGUUAAACUUUUGCACUUUUCGUGAAUUUUUCUUUUUUGUUUUAUCAGCAUCAAAAUGACACCGUUUGAUAUGCUUUUCAUCUCUGUAUUAGCCUCAACCCACAUUCAAUUUGCUCAAUCUGUGACAUUAAAUUCUUGGACACAUUCCUCCACGCCAUGAACACUUGCCACGCCCUAUUAUCAAAAAAUUCAUCAUCAUUGUCUUCUUCUUCUUCUUCGCUUUCUUCAUCAAGAAGCGAUCUAACGAGGUUGGUGAAGACUUAAGGGUGGAGAUUGCCAAGAAAGCGGAAUGGGAUUUCAAGACUAUUGCGCCAAGACGGGUCGGGUAGGUUUUCAUGGGUGGCUGCAUUGUUUAAUGCGUCACAAUAGGAAAGAAAAUGACUGAGAAGGAGCUCGACGUGAGAGUAGAGGAGGGUUUGCGAAGAAGAUGAAGAAAGAGAUUUGUGAAUGAGAGGGAGGAGGGAUUUUUGCAGAGUGUUGAACCAGAUUGUGUAGUAAUCUUUGAAGGCAAGUGUUUGUGAUUUCUUGUGGGAGAAAAGAGAAGCAAAGGAUCUUGGCAUCUUUAAAGAAGAUGAUGAUUGGAGCUUGAUGUGAGCAAAUUCAUUGUUUCUUCUUAAGAAGCCAAAGAAAAAGAGAUAGGCAAAGGGAAAUGAUGAAGGGAAGGGGAAAUAUUUGGCAAGCAAAAUGCACCGUUUUUUGCUUUAGUUGUGAAACGGCGCGCUUUCAUUUUAAUCAAAACGGUGAGUUUCAAUUCGGGGCUUGAGUCGGGGCGCGAGUUAGGGGAAAUAGCUUUUUCCAUAUCUCAUACAUGCCUGUACUAUAGCUACCCCCCAUUUGGAGAAUUUUUCAAGAAACGUGAUAGAAAAUUGGGUGCCGAAUUCAUACACAUUAGACAAGUUGAUAAUUUACCAAAAUUAAGAGAAAUAGUGCAAACAUACAUUCCUAUAAAUAGAGGGGUAGCUUUUUUUUUUUUCAUCUUAAAUUACGAAAGUUGAGAGCAAUUACAAUUAAAACAAUUUGAGAGAAUUGUGAGAAUUUCUACUUGAGUAUUUUAGUGAAGAUCCAUUUAGGUGUAUUGAUUUAUUGUGUUUUAAAAGUAGUUUUUAAUUUUCUAAUUCCUAUUUGUUUGUUAAAUUAUUUUCCAAUCUUUGUCCGUGAAUGUAGACUUUAUGCCGAACCACGUAACUUAUUGUGCACUCUUUGCUUUGCAUUUGUUUAUCAUUACAUUUAUAUUUCUUUAGAAGUUGCAAUCACCAUAAUAUUAAUAAGCUUAAGUAAAAUUAUCUUAAAAUUAUUACAACUUGUAAAAAUAGAGAAACAAAUUAUUACAACUUGUAAAAAUAGAGAAGCAAAUUAUUACAACUUGUAAAAAUAGAGAAGCAAAUUAUUACAACUUGUAAAAAUAGAGAAGCUUAAGAUCAUGUUAUAGAUAAUUAAUUAAAUGUCAAAUAUUGAUGGAACUUAAGAGAUGCUAACAAAUUUAAGACGUACGUGUAACGCAAAAUUAGCAAAUCCAAUAUAUAUAUAUAAAGGAAAGCAUCACAAUAAAGUGGUAAUUUAAGCAUAAUUAAACAUAAAUAAAUAACAAUUUUCAAAAAGUAGUUAUUUUUUUUCAUCACAUUUAGAUCCCAGCUCCUAGAUUGACCGGGAUCCAAAAUCUCUUUCAUGACAAGGUUUCUAGCUCUGUUAACAGUCAUCUAGCACAAGUGCAAAUGUUCUUCAAGCUCAUCAAGCUGAAGCUGGCUUCGUUCUUCAUUAGCUGGUGGGCGACUUCACUGCUUGCCUGGAGCCGAGUCUCUCCCCUCUCAAGCCAAAACUUAACCAUUGAACGCAUGUGCUCCAUUUCAUCAUUUAGCCGAGCCACUAGCCGGCUUAUGGUAUCCAACGGUUAGUGAAAUUGUGAUAGCCAGUAGGAAUGUAGUUGAAGCCUGGCCCGAGCCUCGUCUCGACUCGACUCGAGUUGCUUGAGUAGUUUCCCGCAUCCGGCUUGAACGACCCGAAAUCGACGAGUGGUCGAAUCAGUCGAAGCAAAUGGGUUUGAUAAAUUAGAAAAUACGGUUAGUUGGAUUACUACACUCGAAAAAUAAUUUAUCGAUAAAGAAUGAGCAUUUUCAAGUGAAUUAACAAUGACUUUAAAAGUCUUACACAAAAAAAAAAAAAAAACAAUGACUUUAAAAGUCGAUACUUAAUACAAAUAUUAUCGAUGCCUUUCAAGAGAGAAGCAUUGGCGGUCUCAGUGAAAUAAUUGUUGAAAAAAUAGCAUAUCAAUAUGCUAUUUUGAUUGCACUUUUUGAGUGGGUCCCACUUAACGAUAGUGAAAAAUCUUGUGAGGUUUGGAUUCUACUCUGUUAAUACUUUAAAAAUGUAUUUUUAUUUUCUCAAAAUGGUGCUUGGGUGAAUGAGAAAUUGUCUCUCAAAGUUCACCCUUAAAGUUGAAAAUUUAAAAGGAAAUGAGGCUUAUCCCACAUGAGAAAAAGAAGCCAAGGGAUUAGUGUUUAUAUAUAAACACUUAACCAUGCAUGAACAAUAAUUUUAAGGAUAGAGGCUCUCUUCACAUGUGUGUGUGCAAGGCUGGUGCGAAUCUAUGACCGAUUUGGUUGAACUCGUUUGCGCCCGCAUGUCCCGCGUACACGAAUGUCAACCCAAAAUCACCUAAGCUUGCAUGGCACAUUUUUAAUUUCCUUUAAUUUUUCUUAACAGUAUUAAAUUUUUCUUAACAGUUUCACACCUUUUGAAUUCAAAAAAUUUGUAACAGCUUCGCAAUUAUUUUUGGGCUGUUAUGCAAUUGAAUUGAAUUGUUUAAAUUCAAUGGCUGUUACAGCAAUUAAAUUACAUAUAUAUUGAAUACUGAAAUUCAAUUUUUAUGUUGUUGUUACAUACCCACAUGAGUAUAAAAAGGCACAUUCCCUUCUGUUUUCACACACACUGAAACUAGCACACAAAGCGCUUAUGGUUUUUCUUUCUUCCUUCUUUCAUCUUGUUUUCUGAUUGAGUUUGCCGUUGUUGUGGUUCGCCGAAAUUGGCUGUCUGUGAUUGACGGAAAAUUUGUGCCUGUUGUAUCCUGGGAAACAGUUACCAGCAAACCUAAAGCAUUUCAGUAGGUGGUAAAUCUAUUUUAAGGAUACUAUUCUGUGCAGGCCUCAGAUUAAUUUUUCUGUUUCGGUUUUCUUUUCCCUGCUAUUUUUCAGUUGUUCAUUUGUGAUUUCCAGUUGCUAUUUUUCAGUUGUUCAUUUGUGAUUUCCAGUUGCUGUUUUAUGUUAUUGUUAAUAUUAGCUACUGCAUUAAAUUGUUAUCUCAUUAUUUUUUUCUAACAAUAAUCAUAUAUUAGAGAGGGUGUUUUGACCAAGUCCAGGAUCCGAAUAACCGUGGAUUGAUCGAGAUCCAAGAGUUGCUCGGCAAAGAGCCGAGAGGAUGAGAUCCGAGCUGUGGUUGUAGAUUCAACUUGGACGGACUUGGCUGAAUCUUUGUUUGAUAACGUAAGGACACGUGUCCAAAACUCAUUGUAUGAUUCUAUCUGGAAGGCAUGAGCAUAUUCUUCUCGUACAUCAACAUCAGUAAGUUGGUUGGAAAUAUCGACGCUUGAUGCUUUAUAUAUCCACCAAAACAAUAAUAACCAUUAUAAAAUUGUACUCUUUUUUUCCACACUUUAAUUGAUUCCCUAACAUCGACGUUAACUCUUCUUACUAAGUUCAUCUUUUGAUAGCUGAUGCCUUGGCUCUUGUCCCGUCAAUAACUUUAAUAAUUCAUCAUUUGACAAAAUUAACAUGAUAUUAGAGACAAAGUUUGCCCAUGAUGUUUGUACAAAAGAAAUGAAACUCAAGCAUCGGCUUUAAAUAGGUCACAUGGGAAGUGAUUUUGAUAAUGAGACCUAUCGCGAUUGUAUAAAAGAGAGACAUGAAUAUGAAUGAGGCCACUUUAUUGUAGGUUCCCUUCUAGAUGGCUUAUUAUUUAGCAUUAUUCUUCGGCAUGAUUUAACAUCCUAGUACAAAGCUCAUUCAAAAGACACUAAAUCUGUUCACAUGCAAAACAAUGUUUUUCAAAAGAAUUAAACUACCUCUUUCCAAAGAUAAACUAAAUUUACAAUCAAAUUUCGAUAUAUAUAGAAUAAGACUCUUUUUGUUAUUAUAUGGCGACGAUCAUGUGACUUUAUUGCUGAUGGAUCUAGAAGAUGAGAAAAAUAUGAACUAAUAAUUCUCUAUCUUUCACUGUUUUAGUGUAUUAAAAUUCGAAUGAUUUUAAAAUGUGGAUAUCGUCAGUCCUUUGAACUUCUCACCCACAUAUAAUUUUAAAAUAUGUUUUAGUGUAUCAAACCCAUGACGCAAGGUAGCUGGACCCAGGAAAAUAAUAUGUCAUUGGCUUUGCCAGCUAAAGUUAUUUGUCACCUGCAAAGUCUGCAAUAAAUUUUGAUGUAUUAUAGGUUUAUUAGUUAGUGCAAUUUCAACAACGGUUUUCAAGUUUCAACAACCAUUGGUCCUAGCUAGGUUCUGUACCUUUUUUUUAGUUAUUAAAAUAAACGAAGUUAGUUUCUAAAUUUUCAUAGUUCUAUUAGCUAAACUUUGACCCUUAAAAACAUAACCCCGCUAACUUUUGGCUCCAAUUUCAACCCUGUUACUGCUUCUUAUUGGUUUAAUCAGUUAAAAUCUCAAGAGAUAGUACUAACAUUUGUUCUAUAUGAUAAAAGAAAAAGAAAAAGAAAAAGAACUUAAAAACAUGUAAACAAACCUGCAUGGGAAAGGCACUUUCGGAUGCGUGCACUAAUUCUCUUCUUCAUUUAAUUUACCUUAUGGCAUAUACAAUAACCAAAAAAAAAAAAAAAGUUUCCUGUAAACAACAUAAUCAAAAUAUUUCAUCCCUAAGGAAUGAAUUUAAAGAAACUUGAGAAGCAAGUUGAAGGUGGGGAAAAAGAGAGAGUAGGAUGCAUGCUCACCUCUUCUGGAGAAACAAAGGAAAAGCUUUUCUUUCCCCCCGAAUGAAGUAUUGGGAUUUUGGAAGAUAUUAAAUGAAAACAAAAGAGGCAAUUUAUAUACUUUUGGACAAACUAGAAUGCUCUUGCUUCUGUUUGCAAGAUAUGAUGAUGUGUAUAUAUUUUGUCUUUAAUUUGUCCAAAAUCAGGCCAGCCUUGUUGUGGAAGUGAAGGUAUGUUGAAUGAUUUUAGAAACUUGAAAGGAAUAUGUUGAUGUUAUUUUCUUCCAAUCAUUUGACAAGCAAAUCAUAUGCGUGCAAACAAUUAGCUAAGUAGUUGCAACUUUGAGGAUACGUCUUGAUUGAAUGGCUCAAAUUUGAUGGCAUUCUAACUCACCGUCUCUUAAGAAUGGGCCAUCUUCAGUGGACUAAUUUUUCUGGCAGAUGCAAGUAUACAUGCAAGUUAUGCAGCCACCUGCUCAAAUGGUUAUAAAUUUGUCAUAUUCUAUAUGGCAGAAGAGCCUAUGCCAAAAAGAGAGAUGCAAUUAUUGAAAAUUUACAACUUUGGAUGAUUGCUGAUUGAGUGGAUGAAUAUUUUUAUCAUUCGAAAAACAAUAAGGACAGAAGUGUCCUAAUCAUUUAACAAUCAAAGGAAUCUUAUGGUUGAAAGCGAGCCUCCAUCAACAUAUAUUUGGUGAGUUCUCUAUGAAACUAAAAAUGAUAUAUAUAUAUAUAUAUAUAUAUAUUGGUAGUGUCUUAUCUUAUAUUCAAUUAUUAGUCUUAUAUGUUGGCCUCAAGUCAGAAUUAACAAAUAAUAUUAUUUAAUUGAGAUUAUUAAUUUAUUAAGUGAUGAUUUCAUUGAGAUUUUACUGUAUUUUGUACUCAUGAAGAUAAAAGAGAACAAAAUGGUGGAAAAUAGGAAUUGAAAUAAUAAAAACAAGGAUAAAACACACACACCCCAAAACUUUGGACAUAUUUCGGCACACAAUAAGAAAACAACUGAUGUUAGUUGUUUCAACUUUAAAUCCAAUGGCUGCAAUGAAUGCUCUGAGUUAGAGUAUAACCAACAUAGUUAUUAUAAUUAUUACAAAAUUAACAACCUUACAACUUAUUUAACGCGUAAUGUACAACAGAACAUAGUGCAACAAUUGCUGCAAGGAAGCACAGAGCUAGAUAAGCAUUUUAGUAUUUAGUACGUGAUGCCGAUAUGAUUUUGGCCGCGCAUUCAUAAUUUUCUUUACUCACUUUGUUCCUCUUUGUAAGGACUUCUCAUUCUCAGCGUAAGAAGUGAACAAAUAAGAAUUCAACAUAGUACAGCUGCAGAUGCGUCAGCAAAACAUGUCACUAUGGAAGUAAAUGAAAAAUCUUGAUUAAGGAGCGAUGAUAUUUAAGCACAAAAAUCUAACAAAAUCUUGUCAGCUAGCCUUCAAUUUCUUUAACAUUUUUCUUUGAUUAAGUAUUCACACAUGGAAAUAGGAAUCACUUACCUUCCAAAUGAACAGAUAAAAAGAUUGCACUGAUUUAUUAUCGGAGAGAUCAAUAGUUUUAGCCUGACGCCACAAAACGAAAGCCAAUGCGGAGUGGCCUAUCAUCUACAAGAAAAGAUCAUAAAAAAAAAUUUAAAUGAUGAGUUACGAAGAUCACAUUCAAGAUCAAGUGCAUAUAUAAAAACAAGGCUAAAUUUGUUGUAGAAAUUACUGAUUAAAAUUCUUACAGUAACAAGUUUGCAUAACACGGAAGGCGAAAAAGCUCCAACUAGUACAGCACCUCCAUAAGCCAUUAACAUCAUAUUAACAGCAAUCGAAAAUACCUUUCAGAAAUUAUAGAAACAUAUCAUUAAUAUUGUUAGCCAAUAAAUCAUAAAUAUAUUGGUAAAGAAAAUUAUUAUUACUCACUUUUUCUUUCCCUAUGAUGAUUGGGAGCGUUCGAAGGCCAAAUGCUUUGUCACCCUCCACAUCGGGUAUAUCCUAUAUAUUAUAUAUAAGUCCAAAACCAAAAAUAAUUAAGGCUUCGUUUGGUAUAAAUUUUCAAAAAGAGCUUAUUUAAAUAGAACUUUUAUUAGAAGAGUUUUUACAAAUAAAGUUUUUAUCAAAAAAAAUUUGGUUGUUUGAUUAUCAAUGAGAGCGUUCAUUAAAAACUGUAAAAUUAUCUUAAUAUGCAAGGUAUUUGAAGUUAUGUUUUGAAAGGAAUAAAAUAAGAUUAUGAAAUAAGUAAAGAAUAUUUUAGAUAUUUUAAUAUUUAAAAAAAUUCAACUACUAUUCGUAAAAACCCAAAGUUUGAGCUUUUACUAGUAGAGGCAAAAUAACUUAUUUAAUUUUUAAAAUCUCUACUCAAAAAAUCCAAACAACAAAAAAAAAAAAAUUGAAAAUAGCUUAUAUAAUUAAAUAAGCAUUUAUGAUCAUUAGAUAAGAUAUACCAAUUAGGCUGUAAGUAUAAAAUUUAUCAUAUAAGUUGUUGCUAUUGAUGGACAUGAAAUAUUCAUAUACUGUACGUUUAUAUAUACAUAUAGUUAUUUAUUCAAUUUCUGAAUUAGUUACCUUCACAAAUGCAAUUGCAGCGUUCCAGAUCACCAUGUAAGCAGCGGUAAACAACACUGGUUUCGUAAAUGAUACGGGAUUACCGAGCACAAUUUUCUGUGUUUAUGUAUCAAAUCCAUUUUGUAAUUAGUUUGAAAAUAUAAAUGACCAACUUUUGGCAUGAAACCAUAUAUAUUGACAAAUUUGAGAAUUUGUACGUGUACAUGUCAGAAAAGUCGCAUGACCCAAUAGCUUGACAUUUUAGGUAAGAGUCUAACAAUGAUAUUCAAAAUAAGUCUUAACAGUGUAAAUACCUGGAAGUGUAUGAAGAAAGGAAAAAGAAGUAGAAGUCCAUUCAUACUGAUGAUAGUCACUGCAGCCAUCAAUGGAUUUCCCUUCCAUCGAAGAAGGGGAGGAAGCUAAAUGCAAGUUUGAGAUUGCGAACAACAAUUAAUUAGAUGAUGAACUUAAUCAAUUUGAUCAAUUAACCAAUUUAUUUUUGAAAUAAUUAAUUAAUUAAAUUGACUUCAUCUUCAUCUCUAACUGAAGUUUCUGAUUUGGAUUUUUUUUUUCCCAAAAAUAACUAUCGUGUAUUGAAAUAAUUUGGGUGCUUACAUCGAUGGAAUAAGCGCCUCCAACUAUACACCAUAUGAUGAAGCCUAUAACUAGUGGUGGAGAUCGAAGCAUAAUCCCCAUAGCCACAGCCUGAAAAUUAAUUAAAGGAAAUUAGUAAUUAAGGUUUACAUAAAUUUGAACAGUAAAAUCAUAAUUAACAAUGUAGAAGAUGCGAAAACAAACUUAAUUAAAAGCUUUAGGCCCUGUUCGAUAUUGAAGUGCUUUACAAUUGUUGUAGAAAAAAUGUUAUAAUUAUGAAAUAAAAGUCAAUAGUAUGCAGUAAAUAUAAUUUUUAAAUAAUAAUCUUGACAAAAUCAGUAAAGAUAUAAUAAAUCUUUUAUCAUAUAAGUGUAAAAAAAAAAAAAAUUUAACUUCCAAACUAAAUCAAUUAGUGUUUACCAAAUAUUUUACUUUAGUGUUGUAACUUUUAAAUUACUACUGCCCAACCUCAAUUUUAAACAAGACCUUAAUUUUGUUUGGUCAUUGCUUAAUUAAUUACCAUCAAUGGAGAUGCUAUUGUAAUUGCAAGUCCCUCUCCCAUUGAAAAGUCUCCGCAAGCAAGGGGAAGAUGAGGCUUGUUAACCUUUUGACAAUUUUAAUCUAAAUUUGUUAGCCAAACAUAUAUAAUUUAUACAUGAAAUAAUCAAAAUAUACGGGUGAGUGAAAUAUAUAUAUACCUUGUCAAUAUGAACAUCUGCCAAUUGGUUUAUGGCAUUGGCAUAAUUGUUCAUCAUUAUUGCGGGCACCAUGCACUGAAAAUUAAUAUCAAUAAAAAAAAAUUAACUCAUCCAAAUUCCAAAAUAAACUUGACAAUAAUUAAGCCAUUUAAAUUUUACCUUGAAUGCUUCUAUGAUAAGCUUGGGAGUGAAAUCAGCAGGAUUUUGUAAUGGAAGCAAAGAAACUGAUAAUAACGCUGCAAUCUGAUAAAUUUAAAACUGAUCAUAAGAAAAACAAAAAGAAAAGGAAAGAAGCUAGAUUGAUUUGUCUAUCAUUUUACACAUACACCUAAAAUUAAUUAAGCAAACUCACAAUGCUAACGCAACUGUAGGGACGAGUAAGCCGAUAGAAUGCAUCACACUUCUUGUUCAAAACUUGCAUAAAGCUUGUUGAAACCAGCUCGGAUUCUGAUGAAUACCCAUCUUGAGCUGCCAGUGCAACUGUUGAUUUGCUCAAUAGUUUAUGAUUUCUAUUGAUUACUAAAUCCUCGCUGUGUCCAAUUUUAUUGGUUAAAAAAAAUGAACUUUCGGAGGAGCAUCUGACGGAGUACUUCUUGCUUUCACUUUUGUUUGCCAAGCCAUUUAUGUGUUUCACUCGAGUCUGGAAUGUUUUAACUGAACCUAAAUAUGGCUAAAAUAUUAAUUAUCUUACCAAAAACAAAAAACAAAAAGAUAGAAUGAGAACUUUGUUUCCUCUUAAUUUAUUUUUUAAUCACUUAAGCCUCUGAUAAAUUUUUAUCAUCAGAUUUUAUCUCUAGUAUUAGCUAGGGACAUCAUCCCAUAUUGAUUAAAAAUAAAUUAUGAAUUAAAUGUAUAAGAUUCACAAUUAUACUUUGAGCAUAAGUUAGACUCAUAAACUUAUACGACAUAAUUUCACUAUCAAAGAAUAGAUGUGCACGUAGUAAAGCUAUCAAUACCAAACACAUGCGAGUGAGAAACGGAGAAUAAAAUUCACCUUAAAUGUAAAUUUUUUGGACAUUCUUAAAAUAUUAGAAGGAAGCUUACCAGCGUGUUGCAAAGGAUGGUAUUUCAAAGAAAAGCUUGAUCGCGGAUUAAUUUGAAGCAACAUGAUUAUUUGCUUCUUUCUUUCUCUCUUUAUUUCUUUUCGCGUCAGUUGUGGAGAGAGCUUGACAAAAAUUUAACUGAUCGAACCCUCAAUUUAUAAUUGUCUUGGGCAGUUGUCUUCUUUUGCGAAGCAGCGAUAACGCUUAAAAUGCAUUUGCUUUUAAAUUUGGUAUUUUUCAAAGUUACGCAACGAAAGAGAUACUUUUUAAUUAUUAUUUUUAAAAAAAAUUCCAAAAAAUAAAACUACAGAUCUGGGGCAGGCCGGGAAUGAAUUUUUUUUUUUUCAAAAUCUUGUCUUAAAUAGCACUCGGUGCGUCUUGUGGUGCUAUUGAAAUAUAUUUAAUUACUAUUUAAAAAAUCCAAAAUAAAGCCAGAGAGCCGGCAUGAGUCAUGUUUUUUUGUUUUUGUUUUUUUUUUUAAUGUGGCAUCCUUUUCUUGACUGGCAGCACUUGGAAUGCUACCAGCCUACCACGAAAUUUUAAUUAUUACAUUUUUAGAUUCCAAAAACACGUUCCAUUAACAUAUAUAUGUUUAGGUGGUAUUUGUUUUUAGGGAAAUUAUCAGUCAUUUAUUCUUAAAUAACACUCGUAUUAAACAUGUGUGAAUACUUUUUAAGUGUAUUACUCAUAUACCCUAAGUUGACAAAAUACUUCUGCCGUCCACCAAUCCGUUAACUGCCGUUUGCAAGCGCUGACAUCAUAACGGUAAUCUAAUCUUUUAAAAUGGACGAAACUUUGAUUAAAAACAAUGAUAAUUGUUUAUAAUUGCUAAAAAAAAUUAUUUUACAACCGAAUCUACUCUUCUAAAAUUUAACCUAAAUUUUUGAAGAUCUACUCCUCCAAGCUCCAACUAAAAUUUUUUAUGGUAUAAUAUGUAUAAUUGUAAAUUAUAUAUUAUUAAUAAUUUUUUAUGGUAUAAUAUGGAGUUUUUAUGAAUAAUUAUUAAUAAUAUGUACCAUUAAUAAUUUUUUUAAUCAAAAAAUGUAUUGUUAAUAAAAAAAAUAAAAAAAUUGUGUAUUGAAAAUUUACAUUAAUUUUUAGAGUAAAUUUAUUUUUUUACCUCAUUUUGAGUAUUAAGGACGAAAUAGUCAAUUUACCAUAAUGAAAGUUAAUGGACUAGUGGACGAUAAAAGUAUUUUGUCAAUUUAAAGUAUAGGAGUGAUAUAUUUAAAAAGUGUUCACACCACGUUCACCCGGCACCCCUGAUUGUGUUACGGAUUCUGUUGCCCAAGAACAAUCAAACUGUUCGUAGCUCUAAUUGCGUGAUCGGCUGUUAGGACGAUGGGGACGAUAGAGAGUCCUCUAGCCCGGUCCCGUCCUAUGUGAAGCUCUCCCCCAAAGCUUCCAAAUCCUUGCUAAUAAGAAAUGAUCUAUACGACCUCGCAUUGCCGGUUGACACAUCCCGCUACGCUCCUGCACCUGGGAUAGCAGGGCCAAUGCUCUUAUUCUUUCAUUCGCCAGUAAUCAGAUAAAAUACAGCCACACCUGCUCAAAUCAGAAUAGAGUACGCAUGUACAUGUAUUACUCUCGUGUUUUGUGAAAUGACAAAUGAUUAACAACUAUUGAAUUUCCAUUUCUGGUUUCAAUCGAACCAAUCCAGUUCUAGUCUCAGCAGCCUAAUUAGCAUGUAACUAAAUUAUCUUCGGUGCAACCAGGCGAGUUCCUCUCCAACGAGAAAGCAACACAGAGUGGCCAUUGGCGGUGGCCACAUGGCCGUUUUGGCAGAUUGGGGUGAUGGCAAUGCAUGCUUUUGUUUCUUUGGGGUUGUCGAUUUUUCAGAUGCCUUGAAGUAACAGUAAGUAGUUUUCACUUGGCAAUCACACUCCACUGCUAUCAAAUAAUUGAUAUUAAAUGCCGUGUGGGUGUGGGACCUAUGAUAUACCCAAGAAGCAGGAAUCAUGAUAACUCAGGGUUGUACGACCACGUAUUGUCAUUUCACUUGUUCGGUUACUUUUCUUCACGCAAUUGUUCCCUGCUUCCGUCCACUUUAUAAAUCGUUUUUCAAGCCAUCUGCAUUCUGCAGGCUACUUGCUAACACUAGCUGGCUGUUGUACAGUUAUACUUUUUUUUUUUUUGACAAGUGUUGUACAGUUAUACUUAAUUUACUUAUUAAAUUUCUUACCGAAUUUUUAUGCUCUUAUUAAAUUUCUUACCGAAUUUUUAUGCUCUAAUUUAACUGUGCUUAUUUAAUUUAUUAAAUUUUUUACUGAGUUCUCAUAUUUUUAUAUAGCUGUAUUUAAUUAAUUUAUUAAAUUUCUUAUUAAACUCUCAUGUAGGAGCUUUCAUGUUCUCAUGUAUUUAUACUUAAUUGACUUAUUAAAUUUCUUACUGAGCUUUUAUGCUCUCGUAUAAUUGUGCUUACUUAACUUAUUAAAUUUCCUACUGAGCUCUCAUACUUUUAUAUAACUGUGCUUAAUUGACUUAUUAAACUUCCUAUUGAACUCUCAUGCUCUUUUAGAAUUGUGCUUAAUAGACUUUUUUUGGCCGGCAUAAGAGUCUAAUAUUUAAUAUUAACGUAAAAAAAAAAGGAAAUAGUUGUACAAAGUGGGCAUUAAUUAAGCACCGAAUAAAUCAACAAAGUAUUGGCUCCACUGACAAUGGAGUCUUCUUUAAGUGGCUUGACUGGGUUUGCUCCCCAGUUCGAGUCUCAAAGAAGUCGUCUUUGUUGGGAAAAUAUGUGCCUCCCAGUUCGAGCAAGGACUUUUAGUCUGAAUUGUGGUACGGACUUAAAGAUACCUCCCACAGUUGAGGCUCUCCCAAUAAUACUUCGUGGUUAAAACAAAAAAAAAAAAAAAUUAAGCACCGAAUAAAAUCGCAAUGUUACUAUAUAUAUAUUUUUAAACAAUUCAUUUAUUUCGACUGUUUCAGGUGUCGCACUGCAUUUCACAAUAAAUAUAAGAGGCCCACCCAAUAGGACCGUCAAAUAUUCCACUCUAUGUAUGAACAUAUACAUGCAGCCAGUCACGAAAUUGUUCGUGCAUUGAUGUAAUAUAUCAUAAUAUAUAAUCAAUCAUGAUUAGAAUAUAAAACUAUUAACAUACAAUAUUUAUCAACAAUCAUACACCGCAUACCACAAUAUUAAAAUUACUGGGUCAAGAAGAGCUGUUGGAUUGAAAGGAUAUAUAGUUAAGGGAUGGAAUUCAUUUGGCUACUCACACAUCAUCAGACAUCCACCAAAAUGAAGCCUCAUACUAAGCUUUUAUGCUCUCGUAUAAUUGUGCUUACUUAACUUAUUAAACUUCAUACUGAGCUCUCUUCUCAAAAAUAAAAAUAAAACUUCAUACUGAGCUCUCAUACUUUUAUAUAACUGUGCUUAAUUGACUUAUUAAACUUCCUAUUGAACUCUCAUGCUCUUUUAGAAUUGUGCUUAAUAGACUUUUUUCGACCAGCAUAAGAGCUUAAUAAUUGAUAUUAAUGUAAAAAAAAAAAAAGGAAACAGUUGUACAAAGUGGGCAUUAUUUAAGCACCGAACAAAUCAACAAAGUAUUGGCUCUACUAGCAAUGGAGUCCCUUUUAAGUGGCUUGACUGGGUUUGCUCCCCAAUUCGAGUCUCAGAGAAGUCAUCUUUGUUGGGAAAAUAUGUGCCUCCCGAUUCGAGCAGGGACUUUUAGUCUGAAUUGUGGUACCGACUUAAAAGUGCCUCCCACAGUUGAGACUCUCGCCAUAAUACUUCGUGGUUAAAACAAAAAAAAAUUAAGUACCGAAUAAAAUCGCAAUGUUACUAUAUAUAUUUUUUUAAACAAUUCAUUUAUUUCGACUGUUUCAGGUGUCACACUGCAUUUCACAAUAAAUAUAAGAAGCCCACCCAAUAGGACCGUCAAAUAUUCCACUCUAUGUCUGAACAUAUACAUGCAGCCAGUCACGAAAUUGUUCGUGCAUUGAUGUAAUAUAUCAUAAUAUAUAAUCAAUCAUGAUUAGAAUAUAAAACUAUUAACAUACGAUAUUUAUCAACAAUCAUACACCGCAUACCACACUAUUAAAAUUACUGGGUCAAGGAGAGCUGUUGGAUUGAAAGGAUAUAUAGUUAAGGGAUAGAAUUCAUUUGGCUACUCACACAUCAUCAGACAUCUACCAAAAUGAAGCCUCAAACUAAAAGCACUACAUCAAUUCUGCCAUUUAAUAUUUCUACUACUACUUUAGUUCUUGUGUUAUCAUUUCUUCAUGGGAUAGCUUUAGCUGAUGAUCAUGUUCAUCACGACACUAAUCAGAAGUUUCUUCAAUGCCUCUCUCUACACUCUGAGAACACCUUCAUUUCUAAAGUAAUUUUUACCCAAAGCAACUCUUCAUAUAUAUCGAUAUUGAAUAAUUUAAAACAAAAUCUUCUGUACGCAUCGCCCGAGUACCGGAGACCUCAAGUCAUUGUCACGCCAUUUCACGUAUCACAAAUUCAAUCGGUCCUCAAAUGUGCCCGAAAACAUGGCCUACGAACCAUAGUUCGAAGUGGGGGUCAUGAUCAUGAGGGUCUCUCUUACGUUUCUGAGGUUCCAUUUGUGAUGAUUGAUUUGAUAAACUUUAAUCAAAUCGACGUCGAUGCAGAAGAGAAGACAGCAUGGGUUGGAGCUGGUGCCACCCUUGGGGAACUAUAUUACAAAGUUUCUGAGGAAAGUAACAACCUUCUUGCCUUUCCGGCAGGAGUUUGCCCCACUGUAGGGGUUGGUGGACAUUUAAGUGGUGGAGGGUUUGGCUACUUAAUGCGUAAAUACGGUCUUGCUGCUGAUCAAGUAAUUGAUGCUCACUUGAUGGACGUUAAUGGCAGGAUUCUUGAUAGAAAAUCAAUGGGAGAAGAUCUUUUUUGGGCCAUUCGAGGAGGUGGGGUAGCUAGCUUCGGAAUCCUUGUCGCUUGGAAAGUGAACCUAGUGGAUGUCCCGUCAACUGUGACUGUAUUCACAGUUGUAAGAACCUUGGAACAGAAUGCAACACAGAUCCAUCACAAAUGGCAGCAGAUUGCGUAUAAGCUUCCGGAAGAAUUAGUAAUCAGUGCUGGGCUUAAAUCAGUGGAAGGAAAGAGAACGAUGGUGGCCAUAUUCUCGGCCGAGUAUCUGGGUGGAGUAGAUAGGCUGCUUCCGCUGAUGCAGGAGAGGUUCCCUGAGCUUGGUGUGAGGAAAGAAGAUUGCCAAGAAAUGAGCUGGGUUGAAUCAACCGUCUACCAUCGUGCAUUCAACGCAAAAGAGAAUCUGAAUUUGGAGUUAUUGCUUGACAGGCUUAGUUUUGCCAAAUACUACAUGAAAGCAAAAUCUGACUACGUGAGGGAACCUAUUCCUGUCGAAGCCUUGGAAGGGAUGUAUGAGGUUCUGUAUGAAGAAGGAGGGCACAACAUUUACGUGAUUUCAUUUCCUUAUGGCGGAAGAUUCAACGAGAUCUCGGAGACGGCAACCGCAUUCCCGCACAGGAGCAACAAAUUCCACCUCAUGUAUUAUGCGGAAUGGUAUGAUGAUGAAGAAUCUCAAAGGGUGAUUGAGUUGGACAGAAAGCUGUACGAUUACAUGGCUCCCUAUGUUACCAAAAAUCCCCGAGCUACAUAUUUCAAUUGCAAGGAUCUGGAAAUCGGAAGAAAUAACUUUGGUGACAAUUACACAAGCGUCGAAGAAGCCGGCGUUUGGGGAAACAAAUACUUCAAGAACAAUUUCAAAAGAUUGGUUGAUGUCAAAACUAAGGCGGAUCCUGAUAAUUUCUUUAGAAACGAACAAAGCAUCCCAUCCCGCGUUCGCCAGGGCAGUAGGAAGAGAAAUCAUUAAUUAAUUAAUAGAGACGUUAAAAAAAAUAAUAUAACGUGAUCGAUGGCGUUGUUAGUAUAAAGUUUCCCUUUCAAUAAACCUUCAGUGAUUAUGUAUCAACUACUACUGCUACUGCUUGAUCGCAUACAAAGUCUCCCUUUUAAUAAACAUUCGUGGAUAAUUAGACAGCUGGCUGAUUUAGUCAUCGAUAUGUUCUCCUAUUUACAAGGCUGCUUCUGUUAAGAUCUUUUACCGUCGGUCGAAAGGGUUGAUAAAGUUAAUAUUAUUUGAACAAUCUUUUUGCAUUAUUCUCCCCCAACAUUAUAUAUCUUCACAUUUGAAUCCAAACUAAUAAUUUCCGUCUGGCUACAAUCAAGAGAAGCAAUGGUAAAAUCAAUCCUAAUACUGUAUGAUUGUCCUUAAAGCAAAGACAUUACAGUACUCAACACCGAAAUUCAGGGCUCAACAUAUGCUCCUCUCUUGUAUUUGCACAUAAAGAUGAAAUAAGGGUACAAACUAGUAACAGUUUCGUUUAACAAAUUAACUGCUCAAAAAUCUUCACAGCUUUUCCAUGACCGUGAGCGUACAGAAAGCAAGAAGCAGGGCGUGUUGAAUGGAUGUGCCCAGCCGGUUGGAUACUCUCAAGCCUCAACAAGUUAUUGCAAUGAGGCAAAACUGAACUUCCAUAGAACGUGGGCCAUUGAAAUGGAAGCCCCAAUUGUCGAUUAACUCUUAACCCAUUGGAAGCUCUUUCUCGCUUUUGCCUUCCCUGGUUUUUUCCUUUCAACCGCACGUGAAUCUCUCGUCAAGAACCCAGCUGUUAAGACACGCGAGUAGGGUUACGUUAUGAACAACUGGUUAAUAUACCAACAUUAACAUGACGUAAAGAAGUUCUCGCUAUGUGGAUUAGCAUAAAUUUCUAAUAUUAGUAGAAGGUAGCAUUUGAAGUAAAAGGUAUGAAAGAGAAUGCUUUAGCAGGUUGUACCGGAUCUGAGCGCGGCACGUAGAUCUGGUUCCCAAUUUUGCAACGCCCUGCUAAUCCCAAGCCGAAUAGCUCCAACUUGACCAGUCACCAGGCAGAUAAUAACAAUUUUCUAAAGGUUAGGAACAGUGGAAAGAAAGUAAUAAGGAGACUUAGACAGCCACCAUCAGGGAUCAAAUACUGACAAAAUGCACAGGCUCACUCAAAAGUCAAAAAUAAGUUUUCUAAUUUGCACUAUAUGUAGUUCUCAGUCAACGUUAUAAGAUUGAAUCUACAAUUUCACCAUAAGACCUUCAAGAUAGAUCAGAAGUAAGAAGUGAUAAGGAAAGAACUCAAUCAUUGGAAAAUCAUGAAGAUCAAUUUACAGAAAGAACUCAAUCGCUGGAAAAUCAUGGAGAUUAAUUUGCGGAAUGCAGAGCACUAUCAAAGGGAUUUCCAACGUCUAGAUUAUCUCUAUAGAAUAUCUUCAAUGAUUUAAUUCUUUUAUAAAUAUUCCUUUUAUGCUAGCUGUGCAUAAAUGUCAUGCAUUAGUGGCUGUGAUUUGGCCAUUAAUUAGGAAAGCAAUAGCUUAAGUUUAGGCCACUUGCUCCUUUAAUCUCACAUACUGUCUUGUAUAAAUUUAUGGUUUCAGUUUCAAUAAAUUAAAAAACCAAUUCUCUCACGCUUCAAUUUCUUUAAGAAGGAUUUAAUCACUGAAACCAUAAUACAUUAACAAGUACAUAAAUUUGAGGACAUACUUAGACCACUCGAACAACAAUAGCUAAAAUUUGCCAAUUUCUUAUUACCAUCUCCACCCAGUACACCCACUACAAGUUAUAAAUCUCAUAGCUACAAUAAAUUCAAGUUCUUACUAAUACUAGUUUCUUUGUUUCCUAUCCAAAAAUAUUAAAUAAAUAAAUAAAUAAAAUACAAUAAAUCCUAGAUAGAAUAAAUUCAAAACUCUGCAACCGUAAGGUCUGCGACAGUUGAAGAUGUCAAUAUUCUAUAUCCGCAUCUCAAUUGCUGGAUUGCAAAAUGAACAUUGAAAUUAGCAAUAACCAUAGAAAUGCACAACUAACUCAUUAGCCAUAACAAUAGCCCAUCAGACACUGUAAUUAUGAAAUACCUGCUUUAAUGAACCAUAUUUUCAAUAAACAACAGAACUUGAAAUAGUCCACAGAUGUACUAAAGAAAUGUCAACAAAAUAAAUACAAAAAAAAAAGAGGAGUGGAAGGUAGGGGACAACUAUAUUUAACUUGAAAUUCACGAUGAUACCAUAUAUCAUAGAUGGAUAAUUAAGUGCUUAGUAAUUAGAAACACCUUAGCUCACCUGAAACACAUUCAAAGUUUGUAUUUUAUUUAUUUAAUUCUGUCUUAUCCAUGAACUAACAAAAUAAAAAAAAAUUAAUUUAAAAAUUAUUUCUUACCGAUCAAAUUCAAGAUUAAAUAAGAUUUAAAUAAAUUAAUUGUUUAAAUAAAGUUAUAAAAUGCAUUCAAAGUUUCAAAAUAUUUAACCCAAAAAAAAAACUCAUUUGUUUAGAUCAGUAGUUACUGCUUAGGAAACUAUAUUUGUUUAUUUAAUUAUUUUUAUUUUAUAUUAUUAUCAGAUAAGAUAUAAUAUAAUUAUAUUCUAAUUUAUUUAUUUAUUAGUAAGCACUAAUGCCACAUUUACAAUUUUAAUUUUUUUAUUAAAUAAAUAUUUUUUUGGCGGAUUCGCAGAUUUACAAAAGUAAAUCUAUAUCCAAUCUACCGCUUGUGGAUUUUUAAAUUUUCAAUCCAAUCCAAUCUACCAAUCCAUCAAUCGAAUUUUUACGAAUUGGAUUUCUACGGAUCAGACAGGUUGAGUAGAUCGGAUUGGAUUCUAAAGACUCCUAAGUGUACAUAUAGGAUUGGAUUCUAAAGACCCCUAAGUGUACACACACACACACUGAAAGAACUUUAAGUAUUUAUGUUUGGCAAGUGAGAAAGCUAAAGAAAAUGAAAGAAAGCAACAUAAAGAAAACUUGAGAAACUAUUUUAUUAAUUGGAUCUGAACAUAUUACACUUAUAUAUAUAUUGCACGAGAGUAGCUUGUUACACUUUGUUAGUAAUCUGUUACACACAUAUGAAGAAUGCUUGUUCAGAAUAACUAACUAGGCCACGUCACCAUGCCACAUCAGCUGAGUAAGUGAAUCUGCUACAGUCAAGCAUAGCUAAAUAAGCUCCACUCGAAUCCUCUGUUCUUCAUAUUAAGCAGCUUCACUAACAUCCCCUCUUAAACUGAAGCUUCUUUUCUGUUCUCUACAAAUCAUCAGCUUCACUAACAUCCCUUCUUGAGCUGAGGCUUCUAGGGUGAACAUUUAACUUGCUACGCAAAUAAUGAAACUGAGUGAAAGUGAGAGCUUUAGUUAAGACAUCAGCUGUUUGAUCUUCACUAGGAACAAAACAAACAAUUAACUCUUUUGAUGCCACUCUAUCUCUGAUGAAAUGAAUGUCCAGCUCAACAUGCUUUGUUUUAGCAUGAUAAACUGGAUUGUAAGCCAAUGCUAUUGCACCCUGAUUAUCACACCAUAUAAUUGGGGUAGUACUUAACUGAAUUCUUAGCUCAGCAAGCAAGGACUGUAUCCAAAUGACCUCUGAUGCAGCAUGAGCCAAAGCUCUAUACUCAGCUUUUGUACUGGAUCUUGAGACAACUGCUUGCUUCUUAGAUGACCAUGAAACAAGAUUAGCACCUAGGUAAACUCUAAAACCAGCAACUGACUUCCUAUGACCUCGAUCACAAGCCCAGUCUGAGUCAGUGAAACAAUUUAACUGCAUAACUCCACAAUUGUAGAACUGUAGACCAAAAUGUAUAGUGCCUUUGAGAUAUCUUAACAGCCUUUUGCAGGCUUCCCAAUGAGCAGUUCUUGGAUUAGAAAGGAACUGGCUGAGCUUGUUGACAGUAAAAGCUAUUUUCUGGUCUAGUGAGAGUAACAUAUUGCAAUGCUCCAAUAAUGCUUCUAAAUUGAGAUAUGUUGGAAAUUUCAGAACCUGAAGCUUUGGUGAGCUGCUGGCCUGUAGACAUAGGUGUUGGCACUGGACUGCAGUUAACUAAAUCAUGCUUUUCCAAAACAUCAGCAAUGUACUUAGCCUGAGACAAAUGAAUUCCAUUUUGAAUUUUAGAGACUUCAAUGCCUAAGAAGUAACUGAGUUCUCCUAGAUCUUUCAAGGCAAAAGUCUGCUGCAUAUCUUGAAUGACUUGCUGAACUUUUGCUGAGCAGGAACCAGUAACAAUAAUAUCAUCCACAUACACCAAAACCAGAAUUAAGUGCCCAUUUUCUCUCUUAUAAAAGAGUGAAUUAUCUGACUUGGAAUUCUGAAAAUGCCACUAAGAAAGCAUAGCUGCUUUAAGUCUAGCAAACCAAGCUCUUGGAGCUUGUUUCAAACCAUAAAGAGCUUUCCUCAAUUUACAAAUGUGCUGAGGUUUGUGAGGAUCAAUAAAGCCUUCAGGUUGUGACAUAUAUACUUCCUCAUCAAGAAAGCCAUUUAGGAAGGCAUUAUUGACAUCUAUUUGCCUAAGAACCCAAUUAUUCAUGACUGCAAUGCUGAGAACUACCCUGACAGUAGAAACCUUUACUACUGGACUGAAAGUUUCAGUAUAAUCAACACCAUGGGUCUGAUGAAAGCCCUUAGCAACCAGCCUUGCUUUGUACUUCAGAAUGGUUCCAUCAGGAUUGUAUUUGAUUCUGAAAACUCACUUGUUACCAACUACCUUAACAGGAGCAGUAAGCAUAACCAAAUCCCAUGUGUGGUUAACCUUUAAUGCCUUAAACUCAUUUUGCAUAGCUUUGAACCAUAAUAGAUCAGAUAAAGCUUGAAAAACAGAGGUAGGCUCAUAUGUUUGUGCUAAAAGAACAUAAAGAUAAGACUUUGGCUUGAAAAUGCCAUUCUUGGAUCUAGUUAUCAUAGAAUGGCCAAUGUAAGGAGGUGCAGGAAGAAUAUGAGGGGGGAAUUUUGAGAAUGAGAAUUAAAUGAUGAGAUAUCAGGUAUGGCAGUAGUUGAGUGUGAUAGAGAGGUAUAAUGUGUAUUAAAAGUUUGAGAUAAUACCUGAUGAGAGUUGGAAACUGGAGAUACAGGAUCAACUGCUGAAGUUGCUGUUAAAAGAGCCUGGAAUUGUGUAACAGAAGCAGACUCAGGGAUUGACUCAACUGAAGAAUUGACUGAAACAACUUCUGUUACUGAUGAAAAAUCUAUACCAGGAGCAUAAGGAAAAGAUUUUUCAUCAAAGAUUACAUGAUUAGAAAUGUAGACCCUCCCAGAAGAAUGAAGACAUUUAUACCCCUUAUGAUGAGAGUUGUAACCAAUAAAAAUACAUCUCCCAGUUCUAAACUCUAGUGUGUGUCUGUUAUAAGGUAUAAGAUAAGGAAAACAUGCACAACCAAAGACUCUGAGAGUUGAAUAAUCUAGUGUUUGAUGAAAAAGUUUCUGAUAUGGAGAUAUAUUAUGUAGAGUUGGUGUAGGGAGUCUGUUGAUUAAGAAGACUGCUGUAUAAAAGGCAUCCCACCAAAAAGGUAAGAGUAGAUGAGCUUGGGCAAUUAAGGUGAGACCAAUAUCAACUAUAUGCAUGUGUUUUCUUUCAAUUCUCCCAUUUUGAUGAUGAAUGUGAGGACAAGGAUGUCUAAAGUGUAUCCCUGAGUUAUUGAGCAGAUAUGAAAAUGACCUGAAUUCCCCACCCCAAUCUGUUUGAACAACCUUGAUGUUUCUUUGUAGAUGUUUUUCAAUUAAAUUUUUAAAACUGACAAACACAGGCAGAACAUCAGAUUUUGCUCUUAAUGGGAAAAUCCAAGUGAAUCUGCUAAAAUCAUCAAGUAUGAACAUAUAAUAUGUAUAACCUUGGCUGGAAACAACAUGAGAAGGUCCCCAAAGAUCUACAUAAAGAAGUUGUAAUGGUGCUAUAGAAGUAGUUUGAACAGAAUUAAAAUGAAGCAGAUGAUUCUUCCCAAAUUAACAAGCAUUACAGAAUUCUAACUCUUGAGUUUUAUUGAUAUCAUUAAAUUUUUUACAUGAAUUCAAAACUGUUUUUAAAGUGUGAAUGGCAGGGUGCCCCAAUCUUCUAUGAAGAAGAUUUACAUCAAGAGUUUUCUCAGUCACAACAGACAAACAAACUUUGCCACUGCCCUGAUAGAAAUCUGAACUAAGUUUUUCACAAGUUGAAUGAGAAAGACAAGCAAAAAGAGACUGAAACUUAUUUUGACUAAGAGUGACUGUAUUGACAGCAGCUGACUUAGUAACAGACUGAAGAUGAGAGGAAGAGACUGAACUUUUGACUUUAUAGAGACCUCCUUUAGCAACUCCUUCAAGCAAGAUGAUCCUUGUGCUCCUGGCCUUAAUAAAACAAGAUGUGCCAACAAAUUCAAGUGUAACAUUAUUGUCAGCAAGCAGUUUAGAAACACUAAGUAAAUUUUUGGUAAUUUUUAGUACAUGUAAAACAUGAUUUAGGAGCAGUGAUUCAAAAGUGUUUGUGACAAACUGAAUUGAUCCAAUAUAUUCAAUAAGCAAUGCAUUUCCAUCACCAACCAGUAAUUGUUCAUUACCAAUAUAAGCUUUAGAAUUGACAAGCUUACCUAAAUCAUUUGUGAUAUCAUUUGUGGCUCCACUGUCAAUGUACCAUGAGGGAUCUUCAAUCAUCUCAGGAUUUACAGCAUAGUGUGGCUGAGUUGGUGGAGCUGAAUUACUAAGCACUCCAUUAGUGAAACCAGGUGCAUAUGGUGUGAAUCCAUUAGUGAAUCCAUUAGUGAAACCAGAAGGAAAGUUAUUAAGCCCAGUGGUGUGAUUAAAAUAAGGAUAACCAGAGAUGAUAGCGGGAUCUGAGUAUGCCAUAUUGGCUUGAAAAAUAGCACCUCUUGGCAUAUAAGAGUUUCCAAAAUUUGAUCUAAAAUGAGGACCAGGAAACAUUGAACCUUUUCCAAAACCAUUAAAAGACCUGCCUCUACCAUAUUGACCUCUGAAAUUUCCUCUACCAAAAUUUUUCUGAGGCACAAAAGAAGGAUUAAACCUGUUCUUGCACCUAUUUGCUCCAUGUCCAGGAAUGAAGCAAAUUUGACAGACAACCUCUGAGAAAUUUCUACCACCAGCAAAUUGAGAUCCAUUAUUGUUAUAACCACCAUUUGAACUAUUAUCACCACCAAAAUUACCUCCAAAGUUUUUCUAAAAGCCAUUGUUAUUUUUACCAGAAAAUGAACCUUUCUGAGCUCCAUUUGCUGACAUAUGAUGCAUAACAUCACUAGCAAGCUUUCCUUUCUUUUGUUCAAUUCUAUUUUCAUGAUUUAGAAGCAAUGAAUACAGAUCAUCUAAGGUAAUUGUUCAUUCUCUAGCUAGGACAACAGUUGUCAAAGACUCAUAAUCAGAAGAGUCUAGACCAGUCAACACAUGCAUAACAAAGUCAUUAAGUUCUACUGGUUUUCCUGCUAAGGUUAACGUAUCAGCUAUUCGUUUGAUUUUAGUGAAAUACUCAACCAUACUCACAGAUCAUUUCUUGACAGUUUGGAUUUGCAUUCUAAGAGUUUGAAUUCGAGCUUGAGACUGAGAAAUGAACAUACUGUUAAGUGAGUCCCAAAGCUAUUUUGAAGUAGUGCAGUCGAUCACAGUUGACAGCAAAUUUUGCUGAAUGGAUGAUAGCAUCCAGCUCAAAAGGAGUUGAUCUGUUUUCACCCAAGCAAUGAAGUCAGGAUUUGUAGAUCGUAGCUCACUUACAUUUGACGACGAAGCUUCUCCAGUGCUGGUAAGUGGAAGAAAUUGCUCUGGACAUUUCAAAACACCAUUGAUGAAGCCUUCUAAUCCAUUUCCUUUGACUGAUGCUAAGACUUGUGUUCUCCACAGAAUAAAAUUGUUCCGAUCCAAUUUUACAGGUGUAAUAAAGUUAUAAGAAGCAUUAGAUUGAAUCAUGCUUGCCAUUGAUGGCUCUGAUACCAUGAAAGAACUUUAAGUAUUUAUGUUUGGCAAGUGAGAAAGCUAAAGAAAAUGAAAGAAAGCAACAUAAAGAAAACUUGAGAAACUAUUUUAUUAAUUGGAUCUGAACAUAUUACACUUAUAUAUAUAUUGCACGAGAGUAGCUUGUUACACUUUGUUAGUAAUCUGUUACACACAUAUGAAGAAUGCUCGUUCAGAAUAACUAACUAGGCCACGUCACCAUGCCACAUCAACUGAGUAAGCGAAUUUGCUGCAGUCAAGCAUAGCUAAAUAAGCUCCACUCGAAUCCUUUGUUCUUCAUAUUAAGCAGCUUCACUAACACACACACACAUACAUAUAUAUAGGGACAAGAUCGGGAGCCCCUCUUUUUAAACAAAUUUUUACACAAAUUCUCAAUCCUUAAUCAUAAUUAAUAGAAUGGUUUGACAUUACUGUUAAUUUAAAUUUCUUUAAAAAAAUAAAAAUGAAUAAAAAUUUGGAACCACCAAAUUAAUAAUAAUAUUAUUUCCAUUUUAUUUUCCUCUUUUUUAUCGUUUAUUAUUUUUCAAUGCUCCAUAUUUUUCUUCUUUUUCCUACACAAUCUUCCCCACUAAUUCUUCUUCUUCUGUUUCUUUUUCUUCCUAGAUAAUUUCUACUUUUUUUUGUUCUUUUUUUUUGUUACAACUGAUUUGUCUAUGACAGACAGCACGAAUAUAACUCACACUUAAAUACAAGGGCUUGUUAUCUUUUCCUGAAAUCAAUAGGUAAAUAUGAAAAAUUAGGGUAAUCACUUACCAUUACCAAUCCAAUUAUAAAGUGUAAUUUUUUUAUGGCUAAGAUUUGCAUAAGAAAUAAAAAGAUAAUUAUUGAUGUAUAUAGGGACACAUUUUAAUCUUUAUUCAGCCUCUAUAACGUGCAAAUCAAUUUUUCUUCUACUAUUUACUUUAAAUUUCUUUAUUAUUUCCAAUAAAAAAUUUUUUUUAAUGAUAUAGCAGUGUUCAUUUCUUCUUUUAUAUUUGUUGCUACUGGAAACACCGUACACGUGUGAAGCAUAGAUAAGAAGAGAAACAAGGAAAGCAGAAUUUAAAAAGUUAAUAAUAAUUACAAACAAUAAUAUUAUUAAUUUUAGUAGGCCCAUUUUUUUUAAAUUUUCUUUAAAAAAAGAAAUUUAAAUUAGCAUUAAUUUCAAUCAUUAGAUUAAUUAUGAUUUAAGGAUUGAGAUUUUUCGUAAAAAUUUGUGUAAAAAAGAGGGGCUCCCAAUCAUGGUCCAUACAUAUAAAUACUUUUAAUUUGACACUUAUUAAUAUUCAUUAAAUUUGAGAUGAAUCAAUCGAUGAAAUUUAUUGAAAUUAAAUAUUUAAGAGUUUUUAAUAUUUUCUUUCUCGAUGUGGACUCCACUUCAAAUCUUUCUCUCCAAUAUUUCUCUCUUCCUUUGUUGUGCUCUCUCCCACCGCCCCCCCUCCCCCCCUCUUCCCCUCUGUCUUCUCAUAUCUUUUUUUUUUAUCUAACCUUUUUUCCUCUUAGUCACGAAAAAAUUUUUGUUCUCUCCAAAUUCAUUUCACAACUCUCUUCUCAGUUUUGGAAAUGAAAGAAAAAGCUCUGCCUAUGUGAUAUUCAUUGAAUUCAAGGCCAUGUGACCAAAUCUUCAAGACCUCAAACCAACUAAUUUUGAUUUACUUUUUUACGUAAAAGUAAAUUCAAGAUUUUGUUUUAUUUAUUGUUCCCUUUACAAUAUUACUAAGAUUUUAUGCAUACCAAAGAGGAAGAGUGUAUUAAGAAAGAAAUCAAAGGGGACUGGAUCCUCUAUUCAUCUUGUUUUUUAUUUGAUUUUUCUUUUUUAUGGUUAAUAUGCGUCCUCUUUUAAUUUGGAUCGUUGUGAUUAUUCAUUUGUUUUUUAAUUUGACAUUACAAAGAAAAGAGAAGAGAAGAAAAGGUCAAGUAAAAGGCCAGGCCAGGUCAAGUGAAAAACAAGAGAAGAGAAGAAAAGAGAGAGGGAGAAAGAGAGCACGACAAAGGUGAUAAGAAUCAAUUUCAAAUCAACCACAAUCAAGACAAUGACAGCAAGGCAAUCAUGAACUCUAACAAAAGGAAGGAAUAAAUUUUCUAGCUAAAGGCUUGCCAAGUUCAAGACUUGACAACAACGGGUAGUAUUAGUUUUAGCCUAAACUUUCUCAAAUCACAAUCUUCGUGGAUAUAAUAGGAAACUCUCAUAUCUCAAGCCAUAACAUAGUCCUAAAAUACCUUCUUAUCUUUGUAUAAAUUGUAUAGGAUCAUGUAAAGAAAAAGUGUGAAAAAGAAAUAAUAUUUUUCUUCAGCUAUUUAGUCUAUAUCAAAUUAUCUUUUAAAAGGGAGAAGAGAAGAGAGAGGAAGAGGAAGAGGGAGCAUGGCAAAGGGAGAGAGAAAAUAUUAGGGAGAAAGGUUUGUACUGAGAUCCACAUGGAGAGAGAAAAUAUUAAAAAUUCUUAAAUAUUUAAUUUUGAUAAAUUUAAUACAUUGAUUCAUUUCAAAUCUAAUAAAUAUUAACGAGCGUAAAACUAAUUUUUUUUUAGAGGGUUGUUGAUAGACAUAUACACUCUUUCUGUAGUGAAGGUAUCCUCAGUUUGUUAAAAUAAGGAUGUCCUCAUUAGAGAAUGAUAAAAUACAUAUACAUACAUACAUGUACACACACACAUGUGAUUUUUUUGGUCUAUCGUUAAUACUUUUGUUUUCUAAUACGUGCAAUUUUUUACACUAUUUUUCUUAUACGUAUCAUUGUUAUUUCCUGCAAUCAUUUAGCAAUACUUACAAUUUUGAAACUCAUAUAUAUAUUUUUUUUAACAACACGCAUUACUAAUUCAAGCUCAUUUCGCACACCGUAGCUACUCUAAUGUCACAAAUUGAAUUAAAGAGGACCUUUUUUUUUCCUUGCGAUAUCAUUAAAAUUCGAAAUUCAACAAAAUUAUGGGAUUAUGUGGUCACCCAAUGACAACUUAUUAUCUUCAAAAUUUUGUCAUUGUUAUAGUUAAAUGGAUUAAAUGUUCUAAUAAUUGCGUGCAGGUCAUACCCAUCAACGGCCAACGCCAUCUUUUCUCAACAGGUUGCUUGAUCCAAUAGUAUUCUUAAUUCUUUUGUUAUCAUAAUUCUAAAGUUAAAUCCUUAAAAAAAAAAAGUUGGUUAUGUAGUCACUCAUAUUGACUUGUUUGGAUAUCGUUACUCGGUUGCUAUGGAGUUGUCAAUUUUCAUAUACAGUAUUUAAAAUUGAUUGUAGAUAAUGCCGAAGUAACAUGAUGUAACUUGUAAUAUACACAUAUAUAAUUUCUAUUAAGUCUAGAUUCUUUAGAAAAAAACAAGAAAUCGAGAUGCGCGCGCCCCAAGUUCAAUAUAUUCCGAUAUGUAUUGCACAAAAAUGGAUUCAUGCAUGAUGAAUAUAUUUCAUUAUUGAGGCGAGCGAAUGAAUUGAUGAUGAUCAUGAUCAGCAGCGACAUUAGCGUGGUCUUGAACAAUAAUGGUUGGGGCGCGUUUAAGAACAGAGAAGUUGAAUCUGGAAUAUAUAGAAAGAAUCCCAGCACAUCCCAAUUUCGUCACCGGCAGCUAACUCUCGUCUGCGCACAAAAUAUUUAGUCCAGUGAUUGAUAAGCACAUAGCUGUUAGAAGUUGCCCAUUUCUUGAAUACCAAACGGUGCGUUGAAGAUCAUAUGACGCAUGGAAAUUUUGUAUUCAGUGGUCAGGAUUUUUUUAAUUUUCUUUCCAUAAGUGAUUACUUUUUUCUCUUAAUAUUUAUACGUCUUUUUCUUCUUCUUCUUUUAUAAUUUUUUUAGACAAACUCUUUUCUCCAAACUAAUAGAAAAUCCAUCUAACAGAAAAUUUUUGUCGGAACUUGAAAUUAACCCAAUAAAUAACUAAAAAUAUGAAAAAAAAUCAUACAAGAAUAGUUUCUGGUCUGUAAACCUCCCACCUACUAUAAACUAAUUUGCUGCUUCUUAUCCUUCAUCAACUAUGUAGUAUGGCUUGCAACUAACCUCGGAAAUCGUUUGGUUGUUAAUUGAUUGUGUAAUUUUUCUGUUUUUUCGUUUGAUUUAUUUCAAAAUUUGAUUUCUAAUACAUUUAUUUGGCUAUUUCUUCCCUGUAAUACUACGUUAAAUUGAUUAGAAGAUCCAUCAAGAAUAUAGAAGUAAUAUUAUAAAUUAAACCAUUAGAAUACUAAUUGAUGUUGUUUAAUUAGAACUCUUAUUUGUCUUCUACAAUUAAGGAUGGUGCAACACAUUAAUAUAAUAGUAUAUCAAAUUAUGAAAAAAGAUAAAGUAAAUAAACCUUAAUCAUCAUAAAAUUGUUGUACAUCGUGAACUCUUUAAAAGAUUAGGGAAAAAUUAAAUUAGAAGAGGAUAUACUAUUUUAAGAAAUAAUUUCAUAUGUUAAAUUUUGAAAGAGGAGAAACAUUUUAAUUUGUUAGACUUUCAUUUGAUUUUAUAGUCAAUUUUUACUCCAUUCUGUAAUAAAAAUGUAUAUUAGUAAUAGAAAAAGUAAAAGAUGAUUCUCCUAUCGAAAGUAACAAUAAUAUUUUUGAAUAUUUAAUAGUAGUAUUAUCCUUGUUAAAGAUGAUUUUCCGGCUUAGAGUUUUCACUAAGUAGAAAAUAACAAUAGAUGGCUUGGAAAGUCUUCCAUCCAAGUAUAAAAUUCAAAGCAGCAAAAUAUAAAAUAUGCUAAAGCUUCUGCUGCCUUAUUACAAUUCUUUAAAAUAUUAUCCAUCCAGAUUCUUCUUCUUCUGCUGCUUUAUCACACCCUCUAUGAAUUUUGAGAACAUUUCUUAACCAAAUCCAAGCUGAAAUCCCACAAUUUCGUUGCCAACUCCGUGUCAGCAGCAUGCGAGCCUUGUUGAGCUAUCUUACAUUCUGAGAAAUAGAGGCCACUCUUCCCUUUAACUUGUGGAUGUAAUGCUGCAUAACAUGUUGUUGCUGCCCCCUAAGUUAUAUCCAGAUCAAAAUGAACAAACAAACAAACACUUAUAUGACUAAUAGUCUGUUCAAAACAAACCAAUUUGAACUUAGUAACCAACAGCAAUGUAUCCAAACACAUAAUAUCGAAUUUAAUUUCUUUCUUUUGUAAAUAUAAAAGUACCUGGUGAACAUUUUUGAACAUAUAUUUACCAACAAAGCCAAGAAUAACUGCAAUAAACAGAAAAGAAUUUUAGCAAGACCACAAUUAAUUACUAUCGAUCACAUGUUUACUAAUUUUGAAACUUUUUUAUUUGGUAAUCUCGUCUAUUUUUGUUAAGUACCUUUGUAAUGAAAAUGUCUAUUAUUGAGUUUAGAUAACUUAAAAUCUAUCAUACAACAAAUUACAACUCCUUAGUAAUCAAAUAUUUUUUAAAUGCAUAAAUUCUGUUUCCGUAACUCAUAGUAGAAUACUAUAAUUUACCAAGUGCUUAAUUAUUUUUUCAUCCAACAGAUUAUUUUAUUAUCACAAUAGAAGUGAGACAUAUUAUUAUAAGCCACAACUUACAUACAAAUAUCACUUGAUGGGAAGCAGAAAACUCAAACUUGACACACACACACUACAUGUGUUACUCAUACAACAAAAGCAUUCUAAAUUAUUACACACAUAAAAUUCAAGAAGAUAAAUAGGCACAUGGUGAAAGAUUGAGUUAGUUAAUACCAUUCAAAAAGCCACCUUCACGGAAAAUGUUGGUGAGAACUAUUCCUGGGUGAAGUGAAUUUGCUGUUAUCUCCACCCCAUCUUCCUGUUUAAUUAGAAAGCAUCCCAUGAUCAGUUAUAAUUAAGAUGGUAUCAAAUCAGGAAAAAUAAAAAAUUCUGUCUUUGAAAGAAAAUUUUAACCUUCAAACGUCUCGCAAGCUCAUUGGCAUGCAAAACGUUGGCAAGCUUUGAUCGAAUGUACGCGAAGGAACUUUCGUACCUGCUCAUAAUUAAGCAAGUCUUGUUAAGGCAAUUAAACUGAUGCUUAAUCCACUGAUAUUAACACACACAAGUAGCCAAUCAAUAGUUGAACUUUCCAAAUAAAUCGACUACACUUCGGUGACAUUAACACCGCCAUGACGCAAGUAGCCAUUCAAACAAUAGUUGUAUUUUCCAAAUAAAUUGACUACGUUUGAGUGACAAUAACAUCACGAUGGAGUGAUACUUUUUCAUGGCCUAUUAGAAUUUAUUUUUACCAUUUGGCCUUGAUAAAUUUUUAAAUAUGCAUUUUUUUCCUGGAACACACACACACUCACACACACAUAUAUAUAUAACACACAUUGAAUGGUGAUUGCGAGUGUUCACACACAAGUUGAUUAUCAAAGACUUUUACGAAUUAAAAUUAGUUAAUUACUUGUUAAAAAUUCACAUUUACCCUUCAACAAUACGUUUCACAGUAUGGAUGGAAUGAAAAAUUUUUCAAAGACCUAAGAGUUGAAAAUAAUUUCCAAGAACAAAAUUAUCAUUCUCCACUAAAUAUCAUCGUAAACUAGAGGAGGUUAUAAGUGUAAUUAGGGGUUGCCACCAGAUGGUGUUACCCUGAGCAGUGAUAAUUGAUUUUAUCAAAACGAAUUCCUUCACCAUAUGGCCACCAAUGACUGAUUGAAGAGACAUUAAUAAUUCUUCCUUCCCUGUUACUCUCUUGUGCUGUCUUCUUCAUAAUGUCCAAUAACAGAUCAGUCAAAAGAAAAUGACCUGGAGAAAUCAUUAAUUUGACAACAAGGUUACCCAAGAAAAACUGGAAGGAUUAUUUAAUCAGUCCAUAACUAAUAAAAUAGGGAAAAAAGAUUCAUUUAAUCAGGUUAUUGCCGACAAUACUUGACAUAAUAUUAUUAGAUUAUAAUAUAUACACUUAAAAUUAAUAAACGUUUGUAAUUAGUAAAACGCACCCAAGUGAUUUGUAGCAAAAUGCAGUUCUAUGUUGUCUUUGGAGAGCAUGAAUGGGGUUCCUAAAAUUCCUGCAUUGUUACUUGUAACGCAAGAGAUAAAAUUCAUUGAGCUUAAUUAUCGAAUUCAAGAUUGAAUUAAACACUCACAUGUAUAUAAACAUGAAUGUAUAAUAUUGAUUGCGUAAAGUUUUUGUAUUUCAUUAUCUUUUUUUUUUCUUUUUGGGUAACUCAAAACAAUUGAUAAGUGAAAUAUAUUUUUAUUUUUACUUUUAUUUUUUAUUAUUUUAUUGUCAUAAAGUAAUUGAUAAUAAAAAAUAACUACAAUUUCCAUAAAAUAACAACAACAACAUAAUAUCAAAAUUGUUGGGAUUAUAUGCUCUUUUAAAGCAUAUUAAUUUAUUUUCUAAUUAAUAAAAUAUUGGAGAUAUUUUCAAUUACAUAAAUAUUUUGAAUAAGGUCCGUUUAAUCAUAUUAUAUGUAUUUAUGUGAUCAUCAUAUGGAUUCACAGAAGACAUAAAUACAAGUUAUCUUAUGAUUAAAUAAAUUAAGUUCGCAAUUGAUAAAUAGAGUUUGGAGCUCUAUUUAUGUUUAGACUGUAGUAAAUUUAUUGAAUAAUUUGUCUUAAUCGUGUAUGAAUUGACUGAUGUAGUUUGACUACAUUGAGCUGGAUCACAUAUGAGAUUUAAUUAACCUUAAAAUAACUGUCAUACUUAUUAAAUCUCAUAGGCAUUGAUUUUACUGUAAUCUUAAUCUUGAAUUAGUUAUGAUUUCAUAAUUGUAAUUGUUAUUCCAUUUGAGUUACCAAUAGGCACGACACAUAAUUGUGGUUAAGAUUAUCUGGUAUCUUGGUGGGAGCAAUUAUGAGUAUUGAAGUUAUUGAUUAAUAAUAUAGAAUUUGUACAACACAUCUCUUGAUGGGUUUUCGGCACUUGAUCAUAGAAUUUGUACAACACAUCUCUUGAUGGGUUUUCUGGCCAGAGUGUGUCAACAAAUUUAGUAUGUUGAAAAUGAUCAUUACAGAAACCAGUAAGUAUCAAGGAAUAAGAUGUAAUUAAAUCGAUUGGACAGUUGAGAUAUCAAUUUAAUUAACGAUGUGGUACAAAUGAUUAUGCAGUAAAGAAAUCGAUGUGGCUUGGGACGAAUUAUUAUUCGAACAUACAAUUAUGGAGGUCAAUUCCAAUCUUUUAGUGGAGUAGAUUUGGAAUUAAAAAAUUGGGCUAGUUUAAUUACAGACCUAAUUAUUAUAGACACUCUUGUAUGUUCUCAAAUGAUCCCCAGGUUAGCUCAUUUAAUUGAUUGCGCCACUACUGGAUUAAUAAGUAAGAUAAUUAACUAUUUGGGUUAAAAAGCUAAAUAUAUUAUUUAGUGGGAUGCUCCAUGUAAUGUAUUUGUGUUUGAGGGGCCUUGUGUUAUUUUACAAUAUGGGCCCCUAUGACAAGAAAAAAGUAACGUUACUUUUGGUUUAUUAUUUUCAAUUUAAAUCAAACUUGAUUUGAUAGAAUUAAAUAAAAUAAAAAAUAGAGCCUAAAGUUUUUCCACUAGAUAGAGAUAUAAAAGAGCUUAUUUUCUCCCAAAAGAAGAGAAAGCAACCAUUUUAUACAGAUCAGAGAAAAAUAUAUUUCUCUCUAUUGUUGAGAGAAAAAUAUAUUUCUCUCUAUUGUUGAGAGAAAAAUAUAUUUCUCUCUAUUGUUGAGAGAAAAAUAUAUUUCUCUCUAUUGUUGAGAGAAAAAUUUUCUCGUGCUAGUUGUUUUAGUGGUGAUAAAGGCGUCCACGCGCAAGUGCAAAUCAAACUUGAGUCAUAGUCUGGAAGAUUAUUUGGUGGCGGAUCGUGAUUUAACAGAAGUGGUGGUGACGUAUUGUAAUCUAAAAGUAGUGGUAGUGACGGAUCGUGAUCUGAGAGCAUAAAUCAUUUCAGCGGAAAAAGCCAAAUCAAAUUUUCAAGAUACGAUUUCCAGAUUACAAAUUCUUAUAUAUUGUAUGAGAGUGAUCUUAAAAGUUUAUAUAAAAAAUUUUAAAAACUGAUUUUUCUCCAACAAAAAUAUAUUAAAAAUAAAUAAAAAUAAUCUCUUUAAAUUAAUUUUUAUUGAUUUUAUUACUUAAGUAAAUAAAAAUAGUACAAAAAUUUAAAAAAAAUUACUAAAUACCAGGCUUAACUUUUAAUAAGUUUUAAAAUUUACAUUUAAUCAUUCAGAAGUUCGAAUAGUAAUUAUGAACAACUCAAGUUUGUAAUAAAAGGUUCCAUUUUCAAUGACUAACAUUGUCUUAUUGUAUGUAAUUUCAUAUUAUCAUUAUUUUCACGUUUAAUGUUCAUAUUUCAUGUGCAUCAAAAUAUUAUUAUAGAGUUCUUAAAUAUAAAUAUGGUACUAAAUAUUGUAAUUCGUUGUUGGUAUAAUAUCAUAUUGAAUUAUAUUGUUAAGGCAUGUGUAAAUGAUGACCAGUCUAAGUAGGUGUAAUGACUCCCUAUGCUAGCAUUAAGAAAGAAAAUACGACACAAUCUAAUUGUUUAUUUGUAAAAUAUUAGGUAUUAAAAUUAUUCAUUUGUAACUACUUGCAUAUAAUGAUAAUUACAAGAACUAUAAUGUGAAUUUUGUAAUAAACAUAUUGUAUAAUGAGUUAGAUUAGUUAUUCCACAAUGCUUGUACUAUAAGAGGCUACCAAUUGAGAUUUUUGAAUUUUGAGUGAAAAAUGGUGUUUAAGUGAUAGGUAAUGAUUUUGAAGUAUCAAAUGAGCUAGAAACAGAUGAGAAGAUAAUAAAUUUUAGUGAGAUAAAGAUGAAGUUUUAGUCUUAAAGAGAUAGAGUGAUAAAGCAAGUGAAGAAGAUGAAAUAAGUAAAACCCGCAACUUAAGAAUUGAAAUCAGUUAGCCGAUUCCUUGGAGCUGCUGGCCGCUUCAACAUGGCAAAGUUACUGCCAUCCAAACGGUUAGGUGCAACAAAUGAGGCGGCUAGUUGUUUCACUUGAAUUUUGCGCACCAAUUUUGAUUUUUCCAGGGAUAAACCUUAGGUCAUGAGUUCAUUUUAGGGGUAUAAUAUACCAUUUCAAAAUUUGUGAGAAGAAGAACCAAAUCGAAAACCACUUUUGCUAUUCUGCCUCGUGGUCAAUGAAACGACCCGCCCCGCACUCCCCAGGACGAGUCUAUCUAAACUCGUAAAAUUAAAUCAAUCUGCUUAAGAAUUCUAUAAAAAUUUCGGCAACAUCUCCCUUAUAAAUAAAACAUAUCCAACCCUGCAAAUGACAAAAUAAUACUCCCGAAAUAAUUUAAUAACCAAACAUCUUCCAUAACCAACUUCUUAAAUCAACUUAUCAAAUAUCACCAAAAUCAUCCGUAUAUUAAAAUACAACGAUUAUCCUUAAUAACAUAAAAUAAUAACACAAAUCCCAAAUAUAAUAAUAAAAAUCCACGACUUCUAGCACCAUCACGUGACCAUAAUAUCAAACUAACGUUCGCUACUGGGUUGACUGAUGUACCUGUAAAUCUCCUGAGGGGGGGGGGGAAAUAUAAUAAAAACGGGAUGAGUAUAAAACUCAGUAAGCUCAGUGAGUGGAUAUUAGUUUUUGACAAAUAAAUAAAUCUAUUUAAAAUGAUUCAAUCUUUCUCAAAUCAAUUUCAUCAAAAUAUCAUAAGAACUUACAUAAACUUAUUUAAUUUAUUUAAUUCAAAUGAAUCACUGAAAUACUAUAUUACAUAAAUCUGCAUAAAAUCGAUGGAAACAUAAUACUUAUCAUAUCAAAUACUGACUACCAAAACUAUCAUAAAACAAGUACCCAGGGAAAUAAUCUCGUCAUAUCCGGACCUCAACGGACGGGCAAUGACGUACUAUCUGGGUAACGUCACGCCCCGGAGCUACACAGAUAGACAGGGAAAUACUAUCUCAUAUCUCAUCAUAUCUAUGCAUGCAUAAUCUAGUCCCCAAAGGACAAAAGCGCCCAAGCACACGGCCCAAAGCCUCUGUGUGUACUCAGACGGGCCCCAAAGGCCUGUAUCUCAUCUGUAUCUUAACUGGCUGUACCUCAUAUCUGUAUCACUGUAUCUCUGUAUCUCAAUAACUAAUCUGUAUCCCAUAUCUGUAUCAUUGUAUCUCAAUAACUGAUUUGUAUCACUGUAUCUCAAUAACUGUCUGUAGCCCAUAUCUGUAUCACUGUAUCUCAAUAACUGUAUGUAGCCCAUAUCUGUAUCACUGUAUCUCAAUAUCUGUAUCACUGUAAUAAUCAUACCGCAUGCAUAUGCCCCCAAAAGGCAAAAGCGCCCAAACACACGGCCCAAAGCCUCUAUGUGUGUUCAAACGGGCCCCAAAGGCCUCUCAUCUCAUAUCAUUUGUAUCACUGUAUCUGGAGGGGAAGGGUACUGUCUAAUGAUUUCAAAAACAACAUUUAUACACAUGUACAUAAACAUAUAAUCACAUCUGAAAUCUCAUUUUCUUUCUAUUCAACAUAUCUCAAAUCUGCUCAAUUCUAAUAUCAUGCCUUUACAAAAAAAACGAUAGUAAAAUCAUUAAUCAAACUCAUUCUCAAUAACAAUAAAUAUCAACACAUAAAUAAAAAUCAAUUUUCAAAAAAAUCAUUAAAUCGAAGCAUCAAAUACUUAUUUAUCAAAACAUACUGCACUGUAUCAUAAAAUCAUCAUGUACUUUAAAAAUAGGUUUUGUAUAUUCCACUCACAGUGACAAUGUCCAAGCUCGGUGUCGACAAUGUCCGCGGGUUAAUUCUCGUUCGCGAAUCCUCCUAAUCAAGAAAACGACAUAAUCAUUCUCCGUAAAUUGAAAUACAUCCAAUUAAUAUCAUAAAUCUCGAAACAAAUAUCUAUUAACGAUAAACUAUUCCGGCAUGAGUAAAAUUACCAAAAUGCCCCUACAUGCCAAAAUUACCAAAAUACCCCCCAACAUCAAUAUUUUACCAACUUAUCCUCAAACAUCAUUAUUGUACCAAAUUAUCCUCAUAAUCGUCAAUUACCAAAUUGUCCUCAAUUCAGGUUACAUAAAUAACCAAAAUGUCAAAAAUUACGAAAUUACCAUCCGCACGUAAAAUUACCAAAAUGUCCUUAUCGACUUAAAUUACCGAAUUACUAUCGUAAUCUCAAAUUACCUCACUGCCCUAAUUUAAAAUUACCAAUUUGUCCAAUGAUUCCAUAAAUUACAAAUUCACCCUCAAGUUUUAUGAAUUACCGAAUUGCCCUUGAAUUCAAUAUUACCAAAAUACCCUCAUAUCAAAAUUAUCAAAUUAACCUCAAAACCAUAAAUUACCAACUUAUCCUCAAUUACAGAAAUUACCAAAAUAUCCACAACAUCUGAAAUUACAAAAUUGUCCUUAGACUGUGAAAUUACCGAAAUGCCCUUGCCGGUCAACGGUCACCGGAAUUCAUCCGAUGGCGACGGGAAGCUCAGAACUGAAAGUUCAAGCCACGCUGAGUCCAAUGGUGGCGGUGGUGACCUCCCACGCGCGGCGAGGACGGCGGAUCGAAGCUCCAAAAAUCCGAAACUUUCCGGUGGUCGUUUGGCGAUAAUCCGGCCGUUUCAGGUGACGAGGUUGGUCGGAAAAUGAUGCUGGUGACGUGAGGAGUAGAACCCAGCUAGAAGUGAGCCCAAACUCCGGCGAAAUCGACGGCGGCGAAAAAGGGUUUGGCCGCGAGUUUUCGAGCUCAAAUCGCCGGCGUUCUGGUCGGUUUCCGGCAACGAGGAUGGCAUGGAUACGUUGCUCGUCUCUCAACCUUCGAAUCGGUACCAAGCACGGCCGGUAAGGUGGCCGGAAACGGGAGAACUCGUCGGGUCAAAGUUGCGGGUUCCGGGUCGGAUCCGGCUCAAACUCGGGUCAACUCUAUCUCUCUCUCUCUCCCGCGUGCUCCUCUCUCUCAUUCCUUCUCUCUCUCCCAUUUUGAAAACCAGCUUCCUCCUUUUAUAUGGAACCCGAAUUCUUUUUCUUUCUCUUUUAUUUUUCCCACUUAAGCUUCAUACAAAUUAAACUUAUACCGAUCCCGUGACGUAAAUAAAAUUUGACUACUCGAGCUUAUAAUCGCGCUCAAUUUAUAUAAGUGGUGAAUCAAAAAUAAUCGGGUGCGGGGUAUUACAAACUUCCCCCCUUCAAAGAAUUUCGUCCUCGAAAUUCACUUGUAGUCAUGCUCAUAGAAUCUAAACCUCAAGAAUUACUUAUGAUCUAUAAAUCCUUAUAAAGAUCAAAACCAAUCAUAUCACACUUUCGCUGCGCUACUCUGAUACCUCAAAAAUAUAUAAUCGCAAAUACAAAUAUAAACCGCUAACUGCAGCGGAAGAAUUUAAAAUUCAUGCCAAACCAUCUAAUUCCUCCAUUCAAGUCCUUCUCGAUGCUCAUCACGAAUCAAUCCUGAUUUACGGAAAUUGAAUCACAAUAAACUAUAAUGCGUACGAAAUUCAGUAAGUAAACCAGCUUUGCAUAUACCAAAAUACAUACAUACAUAUAUACAGUGCACAUGAAUGACGUGCCAUGGUAUUCGAAAACAUCGUAAAACAAAUCAUCGAAAUCUCAUUCUGUCUUUCUCAAACUUUUACAUUCUCUUUCAAACCACUUACUUGAGCUACCUUCAUUCGAUUACCGCUUAGUAGGACACUCUCUUAAUUUUCAUAACUUUCAUACUCUUUGGGCUUCUCGCCAAUGCGUCCUUCGCCCACUUAUCUCAUAACUAUAUCUAGAGUAUCCUCCACUAAGCCAGUAACGAAUUCAAGCAUCCAAGCUAAAACUGUAAAACAAUCUUUCUUUCUUCAAAUUUCUUUUGCUAAAAUCGACUUUCUCAUUUUACAGAAAUUAUAAUACAUUUUCGUGCUCAUGCCAAUGAAAUAUUCACACAUUCGUAUGCCCAUGUUCAUAAAUACACAUAACAAUAUAUCAUAUCAACACAUUACAUAAACACAUGGGCAGAACAUAUAAAUCAAUAUCCGUACAUAUAUCAAAAUAGACUUUUCAAACAUGUCAAACAUAUAUAUUGUUUAUUGUGAUUCGUUUAGAAAUCUAGUUUACUUACCUCCUGGUAAACCAAUCCUUGAAUAACCAAUGCACACCGAUAUCAUCGGCCUAAAAAUAAAUAAAAAUACUCUCAUAAGAAUAAAAUUAAACCAUAAUCAUAAACUCCAAUAUUCUUAAAUUCCUCAAUAUAAUCACAUUCCAUACUUAACCUCAAAUAAUCUUAAUUAAAAUCAUACACCAUCAAAAUACUCAUAAUUCUUGAAAUUAGCUGCAUCUUCUCAUUGAUAUCCUGAACUAAUUCGAAACCAAAUAAUCUCUACUCACCAAUCUCAUCCGAUCAACAUAUUGGAGUUUUACAUUUCCUGCCAUAUAAAACCUCAGACGAUGUCCUUUUGAUUGAUAUUGUAAGCUAACUCCAUCAAAGGUAAAUAAAUGUUCCAACUACCCUCAAACUCGAAAACACGAGUUCGCAACAGAUUCUCCAAUGUCUGAAUAGUACGCUAUGAUUGCCCAUCAAUUCGAGGAUGAAAAGCUGUACUCAAAUCCAACUUGGUGCCUAAAGAUUUCUGCAAGCUAGCCCAGAACUCGUAAGUGAACUGAGAAUCCUUAUAUGAGACAAUAAAUACAGGUACUCCAUAAAAUCAAAUUAUUUCAGCCAUGUAAAUACUUCUUAACUUGUCCAUACUGAUGUGUUCCCACUUUCACUCAUGCAAAAAAAAAAACACCUGCGAUAACUCAGCAGGCCUCGGAUACUCAGCCUUAAUCUGCUGACAAACAUUAUACUAUCUCUCUCUUCGUCCGCUGUCACAAGUAAUGAUCUCUCAAGGUACAGUACAUCUGCUGGAGUCAACCCAGCUACUAGUCUAAUACGGCCACGAUCACAUCUACGACUACGAUAAAUCCUGAUGGCAUCCUCAAAAUAUCAAUUCCGACUUUAAUGACAAUAAAACUUAUUCUAUUUACGACAGUAAAGUCUACAGAAUCUAAAACCAUGCUCUGAUACCAACUGAAACGACCCGCCCCGCACUCCCCAGGACGAGUCUAUCUAAACUCGUAAAAUUAAAUCAAUCUGCUUAAGAAUUCUAUAAAAAUUUCGGCAACAUCUCCCUUAUAAAUAAAACAUAUCCAACCCUGCAAAUGACAAAAUAAUACUCCCGAAAUAAUUUAAUAACCAAACAUCUUCCAUAACCAACUUCUUAAAUCAACUUAUCAAAUAUCACCAAAAUCAUCCGUAUAUUAAAAUACAACGAUUAUCCUUAAUAACAUAAAAUAAUAACACAAAUCCCAAAUAUAAUAAUAAAAAUCCACGACUUCUAGCACCAUCACGUGACCAUAAUAUCAAACUAACGUUCGCUACUGGGUUGACUGAUGUACCUGUAAAUCUCCUGAGGGGGGGGGGGGAAAUAUAAUAAAAACGGGAUGAGUAUAAAACUCAGUAAGCUCAGUGAGUGGAUAUUAGUUUUUGACAAAUAAAUAAAUCUAUUUAAAAUGAUUCAAUCUUUCUCAAAUCAAUUUCAUCAAAAUAUCAUAAGAACUUACAUAAACUUAUUUAAUUUAUUUAAUUCAAAUGAAUCACUGAAAUACUAUAUUACAUAAAUCUGCAUAAAAUCGAUGGAAACAUAAUACUUAUCAUAUCAAAUACUGACUACCAAAACUAUCAUAAAACAAGUACCCAGGGAAAUAAUCUCGUCAUAUCCGGACCUCAACGGACGGGCAAUGACGUACUAUCUGGGUAACGUCACGCCCCGGAGCUACACUGUAUCACUGUAUCUCAAUAUCUGUAUCACUGUAAUAAUCAUACCGCAUGCAUAUGCCCCCAAAAGGCAAAAGCGCCCAAACACACGGCCCAAAGCCUCUAUGUGUGUUCAAACGGGCCCCAAAGGCCUCUCAUCUCAUAUCAUUUGUAUCACUGUAUCUGGAGGGGAAGGGUACUGUCUAAUGAUUUCAAAAACAACAUUUAUACACAUGUACAUAAACAUAUAAUCACAUCUGAAAUCUCAUUUUCUUUCUAUUCAACAUAUCUCAAAUCUGCUCAAUUCUAAUAUCAUGCCUUUACAAAAAAAACGAUAGUAAAAUCAUUAAUCAAACUCAUUCUCAAUAACAAUAAAUAUCAACACAUAAAUAAAAAUCAAUUUUCAAAAAAAUCAUUAAAUCGAAGCAUCAAAUACUUAUUUAUCAAAACAUACUGCACUGUAUCAUAAAAUCAUCAUGUACUUUAAAAAUAGGUUUUGUAUAUUCCACUCACAGUGACAAUGUCCAAGCUCGGUGUCGACAAUGUCCGCGGGUUAAUUCUCGUUCGCGAAUCCUCCUAAUCAAGAAAACGACAUAAUCAUUCUCCGUAAAUUGAAAUACAUCCAAUUAAUAUCAUAAAUCUCGAAACAAAUAUCUAUUAACGAUAAACUAUUCCGGCAUGAGUAAAAUUACCAAAAUGCCCCUACAUGCCAAAAUUACCAAAAUACCCCCCAACAUCAAUAUUUUACCAACUUAUCCUCAAACAUCAUUAUUGUACCAAAUUAUCCUCAUAAUCGUCAAUUACCAAAUUGUCCUCAAUUCAGGUUACAUAAAUAACCAAAAUGUCAAAAAUUACGAAAUUACCAUCCGCACGUAAAAUUACCAAAAUGUCCUUAUCGACUUAAAUUACCGAAUUACUAUCGUAAUCUCAAAUUACCUCACUGCCCUAAUUUAAAAUUACCAAUUUGUCCAAUGAUUCCAUAAAUUACAAAUUCACCCUCAAGUUUUAUGAAUUACCGAAUUGCCCUUGAAUUCAAUAUUACCAAAAUACCCUCAUAUCAAAAUUAUCAAAUUAACCUCAAAACCAUAAAUUACCAACUUAUCCUCAAUUACAGAAAUUACCAAAAUAUCCACAACAUCUGAAAUUACAAAAUUGUCCUUAGACUGUGAAAUUACCGAA